UGUUUUGGAAGUUCGUUGGAGAGGCUGGUGUAAGGUGGUUGACUGCAUUGUUCAAUGAAAUUUUCAGGACGGCAAAGAUGCCCGAGGCGUGGAGGUGGAGUACCAUGAUCCCCCUCUAUAAGAAUAAGGGGGACAUUCAGUGUUGCAAUAACUAUAGGGGGAUUAAGUUACUGAGUCACUCUAUGAAGAUAUGGGAGAGAGUGGUCGAGGUGAGGCUGAGACGGAUAGUGUCUAUCUCGGAAAACCAGUUCGGAUUUAUGCCCGGCCGCUCGACGACGGAGGCAAUCCACCUGGUACGGAGGUUGGUGGAGCAGUAUAGGGAGAGGAAGAAGGAUCUGCACAUGGUGUUCAUCGACCUGGAAAAGGCGUACGACAAAGUCCCCAGGGAAGUACUUUGGAGAUGCCUGGAGGUGAGUGGAGUACCGCAGGCAUAUAUCAGAGUAAUUAAGGAUAUGUAUGAGGGAGCGAAAACCCAGGUGAGGACGGCGGGAGGAGACUCAGUUAAGUCAUAACUUUUUACAGUAAUCAAGAAUGUCAUUAAUAAAUGGAGGUGAACAAUUCUGAUUUUUUGUCUAACUCAUUCAAGUUCAAUCCUUUAUAAAUAGGUCCCUCCUUAUUCAAUCGUUCGUUCUACUACACACUAUUUAUUCAUUGCUCUUGUUACACCUUCAACUACUUUCUCUUCAAGGACUUGAUAGCUUUUUCUGUCUCUAGUAAGUUUUUUUCUUGAUUUUUGUGUAAAUAUUCGUUGUAUAUUACAUUACAUUUGAAUUCUUUCUUUUCUUUACUUUUAUUUUUACGUGUAUUUUGUCAACUUAUGCGUUUUCUAGAUAUGGCUGUUCCUGUGUGGGAUGUCGCUAUUUUACGAGACGCCAUGCGAGAACUGCAGAAGGAGGUUCAUGACCUGCAUUGGGAGUUGGCCGCCGUCAGAGUAAGGAUGCUGUGGGAGAUCCGCAGGCUGAGGAGGGCGCUGCUCCUACCCGUUGAAGAUUGGCCGGCUGGCCAUACAAAUAAUAAUGAUGAUGAUAAUAAUUAAGCUUUUUUUUUAAUUUUAUCUAUGUAUUGUUUUUGUUUUUUUUAUAAAAAAUUAUGUUUGAUGCACUUGACUUUUUAUUUCUUAUUUAAUUUUCGUGUUGUCUAUUUCUAUUUUUUAACUAAUGACAUGUCUACAAUUAAGAAAUAAUGUGAUUUCAGUAUCAAUAGCAAGAACAUAUGAGUUAUCUGUUAGGUUUGUGUGUGACAGGAGCUGUAUUUUGUUGUUCGAAACAUAUUAAUAAUCUGAUGAAACAGAUUAUUUAUCUGUUGAAACAGAUUACUAAUCUGGCGCAAUAGAAUACCCAUCUAUUCGAUUCAUAUUACGGGCACCUAGAACCCAUAAACAUGAAUCCAAUAUGAGUCUACUGUUACAACAGAACAUUUAUCUGGUGCCACAGAUAAUGGAUCUGUUUAAACAGAUUACUCUUGUAUUGCAUUCAUGUUCGCGUACAAGCUAUUAUUGAAAAAAUAUCACACUAGCAGUUAUCCAGAUUCAACUAAAAAGCAUAAUCUAACUUACCAAAGUCUUCUCUCAAGUAAAUUCCAAAGUUGAAAGUGAUUUACGAAAUAAAAUUUGACAUAAGAAUUUGGUCAAAGAGCAGCAGUUGGGAUAACAACAACAACAACAACAAUGGUCAACAAGAAGAAUAUGAAGAUGAUAAUAAAGUAUAAGAUGAUGAAAAUGAAUCAGAAGAUGAUGAAUAAAACAGCAGCAACAAUGAACAACAAAUAUCGCGAAGAGAGAGAAAAUAACAACGAAUGAGGAGAGAGACAAAAGCGUCUUUUUUCCCUUCGUUCCCCGUUAUAUAUUAACUAACAUUUGGAUCGAAGUGUAAAUUUAAAAACUUAUGGGUUAUUUUGAAAUUUUCCAAACCUUUUAAAAUCAUAAUUAAGUAAUUGUCAUUUCUACUCAAUUAUUAAGACUUAUAUCACCUAGACCUCAUUUUAAGUUUCUUUUGUCACCCGUGGCCCAAACCCCAGAGUCUUGAUAAGAAAAACUGAUAUUGAUGAAUCAUGUCAGCAGGGGGUGAAAAGGACCAAACAUGUCGAAUCUAUCACUUUCUUAAUUAAAGACAGAUUUGCCAAUUCGCUGAUAUGUGGUUAUGGUAUAUAGUAGGAGAAAUUAUUCUUUUUAAAAAAAAAAAAAAAAAAGCUUAUCCAACUAGAUAAAGGGACCACCAAAUUAAAGAUGUCGUUCACGGGGUGGGUCGUUCUUUAACUAGAUGUUUCGAGUUCGAGUCCUUUAACUAGAAGUUUCGAAAUCGAGUUUUAUAUAAAAAAAAUUUUUGAUGAGGAGCGUUUACUUCUUAUUGGCCCUAAGCUGCAUGAAUUUGAAUUAAUUAGACUCAAUACAAAUAUCAAACGUCGAAUGAGGAAAAAAAAACUAGAUAAAGGGGAGGAUAGUGAAAGUUUGGUAUCUGUUGAGCUAAAAUGACAUAAAAUAUUCGCAAUAUGAAGUCAUGUUAUCUGAUUUGGGCCAAUUUUGCACAACCUUUUUAAAAAUAAUAAUCACAUAAUUAAGAUUUUUAGUAUACUUUAUACAUAUCUUAUUUUUCUUUUCGACUAAAAAUAUGAGACUUUAUUGGUAAAUAUUAUAUGUAGUAAGCCACCUAGUAGUUUUAUAAAAGCAAUAAAUUGGGCUCCGUAGUCUCAUCAAAUCAUUACUUGUGAUAUCAAUUGAUGGAAAAAACAAUACACAAAACCACGCUAUAUAUUAUCCAUUUAAAUCAAAUGAUAUUUUUAAAAGAAAAAUAUCUUAUACCAUUAGAAUAUUACGAGAUCAUAUAUAGAGCUUUUAUUAUUUAUGUAUAGAUAAUAUUUGUUCGCACAUUAGUAAUAUCACUAAACAAGUGAGAAAAAGACCCCUCUCACUAUCUUCCCUUACCCCUGGCUUCGACAUCAGCCAUGGAUCGAACCUUAAUUCCACCCCUGUUACCAAACCCUCCAAUACUGUCAAAUCCCAAAGAAAUAACCAUGGGAGAAUCCUUCCCUCCUCCACUCUUGUACAAAGAAGUUACCAUGGGGAAAAUCAUAUCCCCUGAGUCGAGCAUAGAUCUUUGUCCUACAGCCAUGGAAAGGGACCUGGGGAACACGGAUUGAGGUAUCCAUUUGACGGAGGAGGAAAAAAGAAGGCUCUAUGCCAUUUGGAUCCACUCUAUCCUAGUAAAACCAAUCAACAUAAAAUUCAAUCAUCAAUUUCUCAAAAGGAUGCGCUUCUACACGGCAAAAGUAGCCAUGGCAGAAAGCCAAGUGUCCAUUCUCCAAGGAGGGCCUUGGUUCAUUACUGGUUCCUUCAUUUCAGUUCGAAAGUGGGAACCCAACUUCAUACCGGCCAAAUCCAAGGUUGACUCCACUUCUAUCUGGGUCAGGCUGCCUCAACUCCCAACGGAGCUGUACGAUGCUCUCAUCCUACAAAGGAUGGGCAAUGAAAUCAGGCAACUGCUAAAGGUUGAUACAUGCAUAUCAGCAGCACUAAGGGGAAGGUACGCAAGGAUUUGCGUCCAAAUACCCCUCGACACCCCAGUAGCAACGUCAGUCUCCAUUAACCACCACAUCCAAUCCCUAAUCUAUGAAGGGAAGGGCUUCCUGUGCAAGAACUGUGGAAGACUAGGCCACAAAACGCCCAACUGUGCAUACCCUCUCCGACCCUCGCACCAAUAUCUAAAUGGAACUCUACAGGCAGACCAAUCCACCAGUGAGACGGAGCAGUCAAAAUCAGUAAUAAGCAACUCCAACGACUGGCAGACGGUUCAUUUCACCAAGAAAAAGAAACAAACGAGAACACAUACUCUCUCGAGCACUAAGGUAACACCCAUCAUCAAGGUUAAAACCUUUGAUGCGGUGUCAGGUAAGUUCCUCAAACCUAGUGCUACCAUGGCGGCACCGUCGAAGUCUCACCCUCACCUGCUGAGACUUCUCAGGUUGGGCCAGCCCAUGACCAGAUCUCCAAGCCCAAUACCUCGCCUAAGCCUGCCUUGGGGGAAAAGGAUCAGAAAUUAAAUAAUGGGCCACCUAAAGGGAAAGCCCAUCUAAAUAAGGCGUUUAGGGGCCUGACCUACUUGGGCCUUACAGAACCCAGCCCACCUCAACUUAUUCCCCUUCCCCCAAAAUUUAAUUCUUUUUCUUUUAACUUGGAUGAAAAAUUAAAAGCCUCUACCACGAGUGGGACAUUUACUUUACACACUGGCAUAGGCAAUCAUGAGUCUCCUCUCAUAACUGUGGGAAACCUUUUCACUUCCCGCAGUGAUGUGAUUGAGAAUGUCCUGCCUUUAACAGUGCAUUUAAUGCUGGUGGAGUUCCCCAAGAGGAAACUCUCCAAUUACCUCCCCCCUCCCCCCCUCCCGCUCUUUACAACCAGAUUACCAUCCCCACAGCUCUACUAUCUUAGGACCACCAACUAAUAUCAUGGUUGGAAGUGUGUCUAUACAACCAAACAGUCCUCCUGCACCUAGAAUGGGAAAGGAGACAAUUUACCAUUCUAAUCCAGGACCCUCAAUACCUGGCCUAGCUAGCUAUGGUGAUCCUGAAUCAGGGCCUACAAACAUACGGGCUCAAUGUUUGGAUGGCCACCUUAUUUCACGUAAUCAACUCUCCAAUUCAGAAGGAGCUGAACAUGGAGUCCUUAGCCAGCAUAAUGAACUAACUCAACCUAGGACUCCCUUUCUUUCCUCUACACGAUCCUGCAAUGAUGCUAUUGGGUCCAGCUUUUGUGCCUCCAACUAAGGAACUCCAGCCCCCACUCUUUCAAGAAUCAACAUAGGGCACUCCAUCAACCCCCUCCCCAUCUAACCUUAGAGAGAAUAGAGAGGAUGAAUACGCUGGAAACCCUAAGAGCAAGCAACAAGGACAUAGAAGAAUUCUUGUCCAAGCUUAGGGUGCCAAGAACAGAAAUCCUCAAUCUAGUAGAGCCCCUAAGUCUAGAGUUCACAGAGCCAGUUUAGGAGAUUGUGAUCAUCCUGAUAUCCCUAGGGUUAGCAGGAUUAGGCAUAAAAAUAAGCCCCACAAACCCUAUAAAAGAAUAGACCACCAAGGUCAUACUCAACUCCUCACCAAGAAAAUAAAGUCUCCUUUUUGGACACCUACCUCCAAUCCCAAGAGAAAGGACAAGAUAGCUGCAAUAGAAACUCACCACCCUCUACACUCCAAAAUGAAGAACUGCAUUGCGUGGAAUGCUAGAGGGGCCAAGAACUCUGAGUUCAGAAAGCACUGCAGGGCUAUGGUUAACAUGCACAAAUCAUGCAUACUUGCCUUGCUUGAAACCAAAAUGAAUGAGCACCAAGACCUUUGUGAGAAAUUUGGAUACCCAAGUUAUAUCCAAGCUGAAGCAAAUGGUAACUCUGGAGGUAUUGUCAUCAUGUGUAAAGAAGACUUUGUCUCUAUUUCUUCAAUCUCUAUCUCCCCCAGGUUAUCAAUACCAAAGUUAAGGUAAAAUCCCCCCACUCCUCUUGGUUUCUUAGUAUCAUUUAUGCUAGCACAGAUUUUCAGUACAGACUUGAUCUCUGGGACUAGCUCUCUUCUUUCUCUGAUAACUCCAUCCUCUCUGAAGGCAAGAGCUAGGUUAUUGGGGGUGACUUCAAUGAAAUCCUUAGGGCCUCUAAAAGAUUUGGAGGCUCAAGUAUUAACAUGAAUAGGGCUAACCUCUUCAUAAACUGCAAAAAUUACUGUAAGCUUAUAGACUUUGGUUUCAGAGGCAGCAAGAAUACCUGGUCCAAUAUGAGAUAUACAAACAGACACUGUCUCAUCCUUGAAAGACUGAACAGGUUCCUUGCUAAUGGUGAAUAGGUGCAUAUCUACCUAGAAGCUACCAUCACUCACCUCCUAAGAACUCAUUCUGACCACUCCCCUCUCCUUCUUAAUGUGGGCUCCCCCAACAACCAGAGAAAACCCUUCAGGGUUGAGUUCAUGUGGCUUAUUCAUCAAGAUUUCCCUAAUCUCAUAAAAGAUUCCUUUCAAGAUUGCCCUUGCAUAACAAUGGCUACCACUGAGUUUGAAAACAGGGCUAGAGAUUGCAAUAAGCUUAUCUUUGGUAACAUCUUUGCCAAGAAAAAGCACUUGCUUGCAAGUUUAUCUGACAUUCAGAAGUCUCCUAACUACCCUACCAGUCGCUUCCUCCAUGGGCUGGAGGCUGCUAACCUUUUGAAAGAGUUCAAUCAUGUCCUCACCCUGGAGACUGAGUUCUGGAAGCUUAAGUCUAGAAUCUCUUGGCUCCUUAAAGGUGACACCAACUCAAUAUUCUUCCAUACUUCCACCCUCAACGGGAGGAGAAGGAAUAAAAUCAACUCCCUCACUGAUAAUUGUGGCAACUAGCAUUAUCAACACUCUGACAUUGAGAAAUUGGUGUCCUCUUAUUAUGCCAAUCUUUACACUACUGAGCAUUCCCUAGGUUAUCUUGCUACCCAGUCCAAUCCCUCUUCCAAGGGUAGCAUUAACUCUCUCCAUCAUGAAUCCCUCCAGGCAACCCCUUCCAUGAAGGAGGUUAAAAGAGCCAUUUUCUCCUUCACCCUUUCAUUUACCAAAAAUUUUGGGACAUUUUGGGUCCUCCUUUGUUUAAAUUUUGUCAGGACACCUUCAAUUCCUACUCUAUCGACCCUCAUAUGAACUCAACCUAUAUUUUUCUCAUUCCUAAAUGUAGGAAUGCCACCUUCCUUAAUAACUUUAGACCAAUAGGUCUAUACAAUACCCAGUAUAAACUCAUAACCAAAAUCAUUAUCAGUAGACUGAAAUCUCUCGUGGCAAAAAUCAUUGGGCCUUGCCAGGCCAGCUUUAUGUCUAACAAGAGAGCCUCUGAUAAUGCUAUCAUUAUCCAGGAAUAUGGCAACCACUUCUCCAAGAUGAAGGGUAAGAAGGUCAACAUGAUCCUCAAGAUUGACAUUAAGAAAGCCUUUGAUAGACAGGAGUGGUCAUUCACUUCAAUUUUACCCCUAACCUUACUAAACUCAUUCUCUCUUGCAUCUCUUCCCCUUCCAUCUCUGUCCUUAUUAAUAAAGGGAAAAUUGCCAGCUUUACUUCCUCAAGGGGCAUUAGAUAAGGAGACCCCAUAUCCCCUUACCUUUUCGUUCUUUGCAUGAAAAUGUUGUCCAAGAGAAUCAACCAUGGAGUGGAUAUUCUUAAUUGGACGCUCAUCUCCAUCUCCAAAAGGGGUUACCCUCUUUCCCAUCUCUUCUUUGCGAAUGAGCUCACCCUUUUUGCCAAAGUUAAUUUAAAAAACUAUGUCACCAUCAACAAAACUCUUCAAAUUUUCAGUUCCCAUUCAGGCCAAAGGAUCAACCUUUACAAAUCCAUGGUUAUCUUCUCUACUAAUUGCUCUACUGAAGACCAGGAGAACAUUAGUAACACUCCGGGUAUCCAUCCUGCUAAAAGUUUUGAGAAAUACCUGGGUUUCCCUAUUUUUCAUAAGAAGCCUUAAAAGAGGGACUUUUAAUUUCUCAUUGAUAAUCUAAACAACAAGCUUGUUGGUUGGAAGACUAAGUUUCUCAACAUGACUGGUAGGGUUACCCUAGCCAAAUCCUUCUUGGCUAGAAUUCCCAACCAUGUUAUGCAGUAUAUAAACCUCCUCACUUCUUUCCAUAAGCUUAUUGACAAAUCUCAAAGGAACUUCAUUUGGGGAAUCACUGAUGUCAAGAGGAAAAUGCACCUCAUGGGUGGGACACUAUCACCCUUCCCAAAAGAAAUGAGAGGCUUGGAAUGCAGAAAACCAGCCAUAAGAAUCAAGCCAUCCUUUGUGGCUUGGGAUGAAGAAUGUACUCCAUCCUUAACUUUUCUUAGGCCAGCACUCUCCUCUCUAAAUACAACUCUAUUAGAAACAGUAGUGGAGGUUCUAGAACCUGGAAGGCUAUUACUAAUAGCCUAAAUCUCUACAAGGAUGCCUGUUCCUGGGCUAUCAAGGAUGACACUAAGGUAAAUGCCGGGGAAGACAUAUAGAUCCCUAGAAUGCCACCUCUUUCUUCCAUUAUUCAGGGGCCUAUCCUCUCAAAUUCAAGCAGUACUAAAGUCAAAGACAUCUAGAAUGAGGGAAUUUGGGACUCUGCCCCUCUGCCCUUUCAUAUCCUUCCCAACAUUGCCUACAAUAUUAAGAAUGUCUUCAUGUAUUCUCCCAACUUAGAGCAAGACACCACUAUUUGGAAUCUUACUUGUGAUGGCAACUUUACAUGCAGGAGCGUUUAUCACCACAUAAACAGUCUCAAAAGACAUCAUAUCACCCAUCAUCAGUCCUUCAACUAGAUCUGAAAACUCAAGAUUCCUAAUAAGAUCAAAACUUUCAUUUGGCUCAUGCAUCACAAUAGCCUUCCUACUAACCAUACUUUUGCCGGAAGAGGCCUGAAUAUCAGCCUCUAUUGUCAUAGUUGCAACAAUAGCCAAGAAGAUCAACACCAUAUCUUCUUUGGGUGCAGUGUUGCCAAGACCUUUUGGAACCAACUUAUUCAAAAGUACAAAGGGUCAUUGCAUUUAAACACUUCCCUGUUCGACACCAACAAUUGACAUUCCACCUGGAAAAUCCUCAAAAACGAGGACUUUAACCCUAACACCCCUUGGCUCACUUUGCUACCCUUCUAUCUCUGGCACCUUUGGAAGAUCAGAAACAACAGGAAUUUCAAAGAUGCCAACUCUCUUCCUUGCUUCAGCAUCCCCCAUGCUGAAGCAAUAGAAUACUACCACUUUGGGAACCCCUACAACCUUCAGACUAGAGACUACAUCACCAUUAAAUGGCUUCCCCCCACCUCUAAUCCCUACAAAUUGAACACUGAUGGAUCCUUCCUUGGGAACCCAGGUAGGGAAGAAAUUGGAGGGGUCAUCAAAAAUAGUAGAGGUGACUGGAUGGUUGGCUUCAAUAAAAGUUUCACCCACGCCAUCAAUAAUCUCAUGGAACUCCUGGCCCUCAAAGAAGGUCUCAAUCUGGCUAUAGACCUGAACUUGAUACCUUUGGAUAUAUGCACACUCUCUUCAGGUUAUUAACAUAUUACACUAUGAAAAUUUGUUAUAUAAUUCAAUUAUCUUUGAAUGUAGAUCUUUUUUAGAGAAAAUGGGGAAUCCUCCAGUGCACCACACUUACAGGGAGCAGAAUAGAGUAGCAGACUCAACGGCUAAGCUAGGCUCAAGUCAAAACAUGUUCGGCAAUCUUUAUACUUUUGCUACUCCUCCACCUAGUAUAGGAGUAAUUUUUUGGGAAGAUUUCAAGGGGAAAGCUUUCUCCCGACUUGUAUCCAAUGCUGAAAAUCCUAGCCACAACUCUCAUGUUUUUGUGCCAGACUAAAUCUGGCUUGUAACUAACCUUCUAAUUUAAUGCAUUUCUAUUUUACCAAAAAAAAAAAAAAAAAGAAUCACUAAACAAGCAAUUGUUUCAUUUUAAGAAAAUGGACAAUUUUUUUUAUAAUUACUGUAUUUACCCACAUCUCGAUUAAUUCCACGAGAUAUCUACCUAUUCCCACCAUUGAUAUGUGUCAGAUAACUUUUCCUGUUUUCGAUCAAAGUAAAAUUAAAUAAAAAGUCAUUACUUACUAAUAAUAUUUUUGUCUCAACUAAAAUCUAAACCUAAAAUCUCAUGAAUUUUACUCACUUUAUUGACCUCUAGCAAAUGGACAAUGUUACAUCGUUGUAACUCAUUAAUCACAUGUUUUGUUUUACACAAAGUUUAUCUACUUGGUAGACCAAAUGUCUUCGUUCUAAUUCAAGUGUUUGAUAGAUACGUGCACACAUUCACACGCAAUGAUUUUGACUAAUGACUUGGACAACUUGUUUAUCGUCAACCUGAUGUAGUACCAUGCCCAAAACCUUCUUCUUUGAUGCUCACAAUGCAUACAACUUGUUUAUUAGUGUCUCAUAUGAUUGUUCGCUAUUUAUUUUAUAAUUUGAUUAAUUUGAAUUCAUACGGAAAAAAUUCAUGUUAAAAGAUUUUUUUUAUCUGGUAUUUGUUGCUAGUGAAAGAUGGCAGGUAUCUAAUAAAAUUAGUCGAAGUAUGCUCAAACUAACUCGAGCAUCAUGAUUAUCAAGAGAAAGUUUCAUCUUAAAAAGGUAAAGUAUUCUUAUUAAAAAUUAUUUCAUGGUAAAAAAUUGAAUUUAAAAGUAAUUGAAAAUAGAGAUGUAUUUAAUCAACACUCCUUUACAACAUUUGGUGGUUAGUCAAUACCUUCUUUCAAAAAGGGAUGCCCUUCUAUUGCUUAUUUGCUUAAUUAUACAUUUUAACGAGAAAAAUGAUAAAAAUGUUUUGGAUGGGUUUAAAUUAAUAUUUCCAAUUAUAUAUUUUAAGCAGUUUUAAUCUUUUAAAUUUAUCAAUGAUGAAUAUUUUCAUUUCAUCAAAAAAUUGACGAAUGCAAAAUAUCAAAGAUGACCUUUGAGUAUAAUACAGUAUAAUAUGUUUUCUCAAAAUUGAAAAAAAAAUCAGAAGUACUCACUAAUAUUGUAUUUGAUGAAUCAGUAAAUUUCAAUUGAUUGUCUUCAUAUUUUGAAUGAAAUAAUACCGCUUCAGCUUUGACAUAAAUUAAAAAACUCAUUUAACAUUUCCAUGUGGGAUUUCAAAAUUUUGAAAUAUCAUAUUACCUAUAAAUUUAAAUUGUAUUAAUACUCGAUAUUUAUUGUACUACUUUCUUUUUUGUUUUAGAAAACUUAGCAGUGAGAUUUUCCAGAAAUAAUUAGAGGGACAAAUUGAAGAAAUACCAUCUACAAUAUUAGAGGGUGAUUAAUCAGCUAAGUAAUACUAUAGAUAAUGACAACUUUGCACUAAAAUAUGGGCUGACAUCAGGUAAAAAAAUUAUCCACAUCUAUGUUUAUAUUAAGCUAAUAAAUGCAUCAUAUAUAUAUAUUUGUUGAACUAACCCGAUAAGUAAGCAUUUAACUUUUGAAAAACAUACACUUUAGACAUCUCAAUUUUAUCUUAAUUGACAACUAAACACUCAACUCAUGUGCACUAUGUCUUGUGGACACUCAACAUUAGCGUUACAAAUGUCUAGAUGAUCUUUUAUAAGUUAAAGUCCAAUUGACAUGAUGAAAACGAAUUGAGUAUAAAUAUACACUAUCAAAAUUAAAGUAUUUAUUUAUCUGAAAUCAAAUUUAAAUGUCUAUUUAUAUAUUGUGUCUAUAUGUUUAUAUAUAAACAGAAAAGGGUAAAAAUUACCUUUGAACUAUUCGAAAUGGAUUAAAAAUACCCUCUAUUUAUUUUUUGACUCAAAAAUAUCUCUCCAUUAAUUUUUUUGUCUCAAAAAUACCCCUCCAUUAAUAUUUUGGCUCAAAAAUACCCUUCUCUCUAAUGAAAUACCACCAAACACGCCACGUGCAUUAAAAAGGUCACUAGUGUAGUCUACGCCAGCAUACACAUGAAAAAUUACUCCAUUUAAUCCAUCUAACCAUCAACCCAAUUUCGUCUAAUAUCCAACCCCACCCAUAAUAAAAAAGAACGACCAAAGAGGAAAAAAUUGAAUAAUUUGAUUGCUUAUUUUUCAUGUGAUGGGUUCAGAUAUUCUGGAUCGAUCAAUGCAAAAGAUGAGGAAAUAAUCAGAUCCUCAAAUUGUUACUCAAAAGAAUCAGAUUGACCCUAGACAAUUGAAUCCUCAAAUAGUCGAUCCGAUUUUCAAGAGCUCGAAUUGCUACGGAAUUUUCUAUUUGAAUUUGUCUAAUGAGGAACCUGAUUGUAGUGAGAGAAAUGAUAAUUCAGAGACAAAAUUAAAAUUUGGAGCGAGGAAGUUUAGUGGCAAUGUAGGACAACCAUAAGUUGAUGAGGUCAAGAAUUGCUCGAGUGAGUCUCAUAACUUUGAAAAUGUUAAUAAUAGAAUGGAAUGUGGUGAAAGGGAUGAUCUGAGGGGAAAAAAUUAAACAAUUGAAUUUUACCUCUUGGGUCGGGUUGAAUUUUUAAUAAAAUAAAUUGGACUGAUGGUUAAAUGAAUUAAAUGGAGUGAUUUUCUAUGUGAUGCUGACGUGGACUGAUUAAAUGACUUUUUUUAUUCACGUGGCGUGCUUGGUGAUCUUCCGUUAGAGAGAAUGGUAUUUUUGAACCAAAAAAUUAACGAAGGAGUAUUUUUUAUCCAAAAAAAACAAACAAAGAGGUAUUUAUGAGUCAAAAAACAAAUGAAGAGUAUUUUUAAUCUAUUUUCAAUAGUUUGAGGAUAUUUUUGACCCUUUUUCGAUAUAUAAAUAAACUUUUUGCAAACGUUACUAUAAUUACUUGAUUAUACAUUCUUACUUUAUAGAAUUACUUAAUUAUAAUCAAUGUACAUUUUUUUUUUUAAUAUAAACACCUAAUACAAAUAAAUAUUUACCUAAAAAUUCUAUUAUGUAAAGGCUGCAACAAGUGUAAUUCUUCAUGAAGUACAUAAGAAAAAUAGCAGAAACUUUGGGAUUGACUGUUGCGUGAUCCCAUAAGAUAUCAAACUAUAAUAUAAAAUUCAAUAAUUAUCCCCCCCACCCCCACAAAACCACCCCAAAAAGUGAAACAAAAGUACAAAACAAAACAAAAAGUGAAGUUCCCCAUCACCUCAAGGAAAUUGCUUAGAAAAAUUCCAUACCCCCCAGAAAUAUACACAAAAUUCCAACCAAAAAAAUAAAAAUUCUGAAACUUUUUCAAUGUACUUGUAGUAGUAGUUGUUGUUAAUAAUAUACAGAGAAAAAAAAUACUAAAUUCUUCUACAGCUCAAAAAAAAAUAAAAAUUCCCAGUUCAUCAGUUUAAUGAAAAAUGACUCGUAAGUUUCAGUUUCUUGAUUUCUGUAAAGUUUCAAUUUUUUUCAUUAACCCAUAUUGGUUUUUUCUUUGGAUAGUUUAUAAUCUUUUUUCAAUGACAACCCUUUGUUAUUUCAAAAUAUGAUAGUGUAAUUCUUUCAUGUAGUAUUUAUUAUUGUUGCUUGUUUUGAUCAUCUGGUACUUUUUUCUUGGUGUAUAUUGUAGUAGAGGAUAUGGGUAAUUUUUAUUUUUAUUUUGCUUGAUUGGUAUAGAAAUUAAAGUUGAGAUUUUUGUGAUAUUUGCUUCGUUCUUUUUUGGGAAUUAUGAGAUAAUGAAGUUGACUGAUUUUGUACCUUAAUUUAGUUCAUUAAGGAGUUCUUAGCUGAUGAUCGUUUUGUUAUUGAUGUGUGAUUAUGAAUUUUUCUUCUCUGGCUUUGAUGUUUGUUUUACAUAAGAUUUUGUGUUCUUGAAAAGAUGGAAACUUCCUAUGUUUGAGGUAGGGGUAGGGCAUGCAUACACACUGCCCUCCCUGAAUUUUAUUUUGUGGGACUAGACUUGGUAUGUUGUUGUGGUUGUUAAAAAGAUCGAAUCUUUCUACCUCGGAGGUGGGGGUAAGGGUAAGGUCUACAUACACACUACCCUACUCAGACACCACCGGGUAUGUUGUUGUUGUUGAAAAGAUAGAAUUUUUUUUACUUCUGAGGUAGGGGUAAGGUCUGGAUACACGCUGUCCUCUCCUGACCUCACUUUGUGAUACUAUACGGGUAUGUUGUUGUUGUUGAAAAGAUAGAAUCUUUAUACCUCUGAGGUAGGGGUAAGGUCGGUGCACGCGCUACCCUCUCUAGACCCUACUUUUCGGGACUACACUGGGUAUGUUGUUGUUAAUAAGAUAGAAUCUUUCUACCUCUGAGGUAGGAAAAGGUCUGGAUACACUCUAUCUUCUCUUGACCUCAGUUUGUGAUACUAUACUGGGUAUUAUGUUGUUGUUGAAAAGGUAGAAUCUUUUUAUCUCUAAGGUCCUUAAGUCUGCAUACACACUGCUCAGUGCUCUCCCAGACCUCACUUUGUGGAACUACGCUAAGUAUGUUGUUGUUAAGAUAGAAUCUUUCUACCUCUGAGGUAGGGGUAAGGUCUGCAUAUACACUACCUUCCCCAAACCCCACUUUGUGAGACUACACUGGAUAUGUUUUUGUUGUUGAAAAGAUAGAAUCUUUGUUCAUAUUGUUGCUUUGUUGCUAUUUUAAGAGCUUGAUCAGUAGAGAUGCUCCGCUGUUCACCUUGCUUUCUUGAUUUAAAUGGCUUUGUUUUUAUUGAUUUUUGUUCCUACUCAAACACCCCAAACUUGUAAUCAAUUCAUCCCUUAAGAGUCUGUAGUAUUUGUUCUUACCAUUUUGGACGAUAUUAACUCAAUCGUGUUGUGUACUCCAUGUGCUUGAAAUCUCUAUGUAGCUAUUGUUUAAUAGAUUGGUUACUUACUAAUUGUUUAACUGACUGGUUGCUUACUAAGUCUGAGAAGUUUCCAGCUUCCUGUUGUACUCAGAUGCCAAGGUAAUCGAUAUUGAUUUGUCUUGUGUUGCAAAGAAGUUUCCCUUAAGGAUUUUAAGAUGUUAAUUUCUUUUGAAAUUGUGUCUGUAACCUAUUACCUUUUGAAGUGUUUUGAGGAAGCUGAAGUAAGCUGUGUUGGGGUUGCUCAGUGAUGUGCUUGGCUGCGUAGGCUUAAUUCUCCUGAAUUAUGUGUCAAAAUGUUUAAUCGUGAUGUUUAUGCAGAUCAUUGCUUUGGCAGAUGACACUGCUAUUUGGAUCAGGACUGCCUAGUCUUUUAAUGAUUGUGAAGUGAGAUCGGCAUACAGUCUCCUAAUUGAUUCAUAGACUGCACCCAUGGAGAAACUCAGAAGCAAAAGUUGGGUUGGGAGCAUAUACCACAAGUUCGAGGCUGUGUGUCAGGAGGUUGAUGAAUUUGUAACUAAGGUAGCCAUUUACUACUUCCAAGUACUUCGGUAUAUCUGCUUUCUCCCUGGUUGUUUUGUUUCCUUUGGAGUCUACAUGUUACUAUAGUUUGUUGGAAUGGACUAGUUCUAGUUUUGAUUUGACUUAUUUCUUAACAAUUAGGACACAAUUAAGUAUGUUGAGAAUCAGGUGCAAUCUGUUGGUGCAAACAUGAAAAAGUUAUACUCUGGUGUGGUGCAAGAUUUUCUUAUCCCAGUGGACAAUCAUGUAAAAAAAGAGGCACAAGUUGUCAAUGGGAAGCCAAAGCACGCCAUUGGCACUUAUACUAGUUCAGUGACAAACGCGACACAGAGCCCCACCAAAAAGCAAUCAUGUGUGGAUCAGUAUGCUGGCAAUUCCCUUGAAAGCCAUAAUGCCUCAAUUUCAACUGAACUUGCUGGUGUGCUAGCUUUUGAAGAAGAAGAAAUUGAUCUUUCUGUAGGAAAUGAUUGUUCCACUGCAACUUGUAAGAACUCACAUAAGGUCUUUAAAAAGAAAAUAAAAAGGGAGGAAGCACUGGUAGAUGAGGAACCAAGUACUUCUGAAGACGGAAUUUCAUUGGAAUCCUGUGUUGACAAAGAUUCAAAAGAUACCAUGUGCUAUAGCUUUUCAGAUGAUGAUGAGUGUUUUUCUGUCGUAUCAAGCUCUCAGAUUAUACUACAAGAUGAUAUGGUCAGCGAGGAACAACCACUGGCUAAGGGAUCAAGUUCAUUCCUGGAUUAUUUGUGUAAAUCACAACUCAGGGCCUCUAAGAAUGAAAAACUGUGUGAUAGUUCUUCUGAUGCUAUCAACUGUAUUUCUAAUGUAACAAGUAGUCAAAUGGUUUUGCAACUAAACAUCACUAGGGAGGUACUACCAGUCGAUGAUCAAUCAAAUUCUUUUGGAGAUAUGGCUUCAUCAAAGUCAUUAACAUUUCCAUUGGAGGAAAGUCAUGGAAAUUCCCUCAUGGCUAAGUUACCCCAUCCAACUUCACUUAAUGAUAGAGAACUUAGGACCUUCCCAGAGGAUGAGAGAGGGUGCAACAGAUCUUCUGAUGUUGCUGAGAGCAUUUCCAAUAUUUCAAUAACUCAGACGAACUUGCAAGGCAAUAUCACUACUGAAGAUCGACUUGCAUCCAAGGAAUCAAGCUUUGUCGAAGAUAAACCUUUGCCCCAGGACCCAGCAUUUUCAUCUGAUAUACCUCCACUAAAUGAUGCAGGAUUUGGUGUGUCCAUGACUGUGCAUAAGAGUUUUCUGGAUGAUGUUACUUGUGUUUCUGAGGAGCCAAGUACGUCUUGGGCAUUUGAAGAUGCUCCUAGCACAUUCCAGUCAUCUGAACUUGUACUUUCUCAAGUUCUGGAGAAUGAACGCAUGGAUGUAGACGCUGGAAUAUCAAACUCUUCCAUGUUAGCAGAAUCUUCAAGCCUGUCAACUUCCUCAAUUGGAAACUGUAUGAAGGAAGCAGUGUCUGAUUUUAGUAUCUCCCCCGGUCGCUCAUCUUCGUUGUCUACUUCUUUAGUGAGUGCAAACAAUGUUGUUUCUGUCAUUCCAGCUCUCUCAAGUACUCCGUCGUUAACAGAUUUCAGUGGUAAGUGGAUUCCCCUUUCAACCUACACUGCCCAGUUUUUGUUCUCUCUGUUUCUACUUUCCUUUUUCUUUCAGUUGUAUCCGCUGCUUCAAUAGAUUUCUUCUGCAGCUGUAAAUGCCUCCUGUUCUCACGAGUCGGUUGGAAAUUCUGGGUCAGUACAAAAUGACCAUGAGUGGUGUCCAAGUCCUCAGUUGAGGGUUCUUAUUUGUCCUGCAGAAAUAGGUACUACGUGGAAGAACUUUGGUUUUUUCUUUCUAUCCUGGUAGUAAUUUACAGCGAGUGUGUUGUUGUAUCCUUUGAAAUUCAUGUGUGAUUCUAACAAAGUUGCAAUUAAACUAUGGCAAUAUAGCCAAAGCUUACAUUCUCAGAAAAAAAAAAAAAACCACUAUGGCAAUGUAGCCGAGAUAAUGAUGCAUGUGUGAAAUAAUGAGAAUAAGGAGAAAUUAUUGCAAACUCGGAUCUCAGCUGCAGGACAUGCUCAUUAUGUAGUAGUUGGUUGCCCUUAUGUGCUGCAGGGAUGCUAUAACAUAUUAUUUUUUGGAAGGAGAGUUCAUCGCUUGAUUUCAUGUUUGCAAACUUGAGGUCUAUCUGCAGGCACGUGAUCAAAAUAAAAGUAAAGAGUCCCAAAUUUUCCUUGCUGUCCUUCCCUCCCAUAUAAAACAGAAAUGAAAAAGGAAAUUUGAGGGCGAAGGGAUGAUAUUGACUUGAAUGCUUUGUCUACUAUUUCUUCAGUAUUCUGAAAUGAAUGUUGUUGGAUCAACUGUAUCACUCGACUAUAAACUUAUGGAAGAAUAAAAGAGUUGUUCUUUUAUAAAAUCUGCCAGAAGAUUUCUGGAUGAUAUACCUUCUUUGGAAGCAGGAGGUCAUGGGUUCAAGCCGUGGAAACAGCCCCUUGCAGGAAUGUAAGGUGAGGCUUCAUACGAUAGAUCCUUGUGGUCCGGCCCUUCACCGGACCCCAUGCAUAGCAGGAGCUUAAGAACACCGGGCUGGCCUUUUUUUAUGUCUUCUUCGGAAAGAUCGUGCCAGUUGAUCGCUACUUCAUUUCGUUGUAUCAAUUAGAGAUUAAUUUCAGAAUCUGGCCUAGUCUGCAUGAAUAAGAUUCAGUCUGUUUCAUGGAGCUGGAGGUAUAAAACUAUCUUUCUUUCUUUCUUUGGAAAUAUAACGGCAAGGAUUGAUGCUGAUCCAUUAGAAAAAACUUUAGGGUUUAUAGGUUGAGAGAAAAUAACAUGGAAUCAUAUACUGCUUUCUUCAGAUUGACGGCUUCUCAAAUCUGAGCAUCUGUAUCCGUGCUUUUUUGUUGAUGUUUACCUACUACUUGAUUUUUUUUUGCAGGAUGUAUGAGUGAUAGCUCCAUUGAUCUUCCGGGCAUGGAAACAAUUGAUCUAACUGAUAAAGAAAAAGUCAAGGAAAGUUGUGUCCUCGUUGACAGUAAAUUACACAAUCGUGUUUCUUUUAGGCCAAGGAAAUAUAAGUCAUACAAGGUAGCCUCUCUAUCUGUUAAGCUUCCCUUCUACUUCAAAUCCUGUACUCAAAUAACGUUCACUUCUAUCUGCUAUACGACAGGAAUUAAUACAGGAGGCAUUUGCUUCUAGAAAGAGAUUGAUAAAGGAAUACAAGCAAUUGGCUGUCUUGUAUGCAGACGUGGAUGGUGAAACGAGCCAGCAUGUUGAGCUCUCUCAUUUACCUUCUCUUCCUUCACCAUGUCCACACUCAACGGAACCAUCCACAUGCAACAUAGGUGAACCUGGAUGGGAGCUCCUGUAAAUGAGCCUCUUUUCCUGUGAAAACUUUCCCAUGUUAAUAAUUUCUACUGAGAGUUGUCUUUGUAAAGGUUCCGCAUAAACGGUUAGCAUAAUCGAGCUAAUCGUUAGUCUUAUUGUGAGAUAAAUAGUAGAAACUACAUCUUUUUUUUUUUCUUCCUUUUUCAUGCUUGGUAAGGCAUUUGAAAUCAUUUUUGGAUAAAUAUCGUUCUGCUCAUAUGCCUAUGAGCAUUUUCAUCUGUUUGUUCACUUGUGACAUGGUCUUUGCAUAAAGGUUCUGGAGGAUUACUUCUUGAUUCUAAGCAAUGUGGCCAAAUUUCUUAUGUCAAAUCUGUGUGUAGUGGCAAUAUUUUGUUUGUUCUCCAACUUUGUUAGUACACUUGCAUAUUUGGUAAAAAACAAAUAGUCAGAUGGUAUAUCAUACUAUUUCUUUCGAGCCAAGGGUUCAUCGGAAGCAAUCUCUCUGCUUCCGAGAUAUCAAAAACUAUUUUUGAUCGCCUUGCUAUUCGCUUGAUUUAUGGGUCACAGUCUUCAUGUAGAAAAUAUAACAAAAUUGAGAAUUUGAGUCAAAUUAAUAAACUUUCAUUCACUAAACAAAAUUUGACUGAUGCACAAAAUUUUUGCAGCAUCUUGUCGAAUAUUUAACAAACGCACACCGUUCAUUCUAAAUAAGAUUUAUUUCUCGAACACACGAACAGUUAUUUUUUAACAUAUCAUUAAACAUAGAAUUCGAUGAUACAUAAUAACUUUUCGCAAGGUAUAUAGGAUCCUAAAUCACAUGUUUUAAAUUCAAGUUCUAAAAAUGUGUAAUUACGCUAGUUAAAUACACUUCACUCAACAUAAAUUUUUCAAACCCGAAUCCAAAUUUAGUCCCAUUUUAAUGCGAUAAUAAAUCAACAAUAUAAAUUUCAAUAGUUUGAAGCUUCAUUACAGAAAAAUUUGAUAUUUUGCAUAAUUAAUGAAAAUUUAAAAUUUGGAUCUGUUUUGAUAUCAAAGAUAUAUAAUUAGCUUCUGAUAUAUUUUUUCAAUUUUAGAUCUGUCGAGAUACAUAAUACGUACAUUCAAUAAAGAUACACAUUUUCCUAUACAUAAUUAACUCCCGUUCAAUAUUUUGGAUCUGUUGAGAUAAUAACUAGCUCCUAAUACAUUCAAUGGAGAUACAUAAUUAGUUGGUAUUUUUGUUGUUAUUUUUUACAUGUGAAAAUUUGUAUACAUAUGAUAAGUUAAAGAUAGGUGUAUAUUUAUGUUAUUUUUUAAAAAAAUAAAAAUAAAAAUGAGAGUCCUCGAAAAUCACAAAGCUUUGACAGCCUUUUUGAUGCGAAUAAAUAGUGGACACACAGUCACACACCACAGUCCACAACUCGCAAUACAUUUUCCUCCGCCGUAACAUUUUUACCUUUUCCCACAAUUCCAAAUGAGGACUUUCAUGUUGAAAUCCAUCGUUCGCCGGACCUCCACUUCCGGCGCAUCCUAUGUUUCCCGCCGGGGACUCUCAUCGGGAUCCGCGCCGGAGAGGAAAGUCGCCGUUUUAGGAGCUGCCGGCGGGAUCGGCCAGCCUUUAUCACUUCUAAUGAAGCUUAAUCCUUUAGUAUCUAGACUUGCACUGUAUGAUAUCGCCGGUACUCCUGGUGUUGCCGCUGAUGUUAGUCAUAUCAACACCAGAUCUGAGGUAGCUUUCAGUUUUCUGCUUUGAAUUUGCUAUUUUUUGAUGUAUGUAAGUGAUAAGUUCAGUGGCGGAUUCAGGAUAUUCAUUAAGGUGUUCGAAAAAUGAAAAUGUUGUGCUUAGUAUUUUUUUAAUGAGUGAAGGAUUCAGGAUUUUCAUUAAGAGGUUUGAAAAAUGAAAAUGUAGUGUCUAGGAUUUGAACUGGGAAAAAUAAUAAACCACUGAGUGAAAAAUUCAGUGGCAGAUUAAGGAUUUUCAUUAAGGAGUUUACAACAACAACAACAACAAACCCAGUGUAUUCCCACCAAGUGGGGUCUGGGGAGGGUAGAAUGUACGCAGUUCAUACCGAUACCACCAGAGAAGUAGGGAGACUGUUUCCGAUAGACCCCCGGCUCAAGAUAGAGAAAAGUAGACCAAAGCGUAGUUAAAUAAGAAGCAAGAUGGAUGGCAUAACAUGAAAAGGAAUAAGACACAAUAAAAAUAGAACUCAGAGCAAUAAGAAAUAAAAUAAAUAAGCGCAAUAGGAAAAAGAGACCCAAGCUCGCCUGAUCGGGCUCCUAUCUCUGGACCCAAUCCUAGGGUUACUAGCCUGACUCAACCUGAGCUCUUCUAACUACUUACUAAAACCACGCACACAACCUAGCCUUCUAUCCUUAUCCGCGACCUCCACACCUUCCUAUCUAGGGUCAUGUCCUCAGUAAGCAGAAGCUGCUCCAUAUCAUGUCUAAUCACUUCCCUCCAGUACUUCUUCGGCCUAGCUCUCCUUCUCCUUAAGCCAUCUAACGCUAACAGCCAUCUAAUGCUAACCUCCUAAGCUUUUCAUUAAGGAGUUUGAAAAAUGAAAAUAUAGUGUCUAGGAUUUGAAUUUGGAACCUCUAGGUGAGUAAUGAGUCAAUUUCUAGUCUUGUGUUCGGGGAUUUAAAACAAAAUAUAUGCUUCAUGUACAUGAGUAAUAAACAUGAGUGGUGGAUUCAUGAUUCUAUUAAUGGUAGAGUAAAAAAUUCAGUGUUGGAGUCAGGAUUUUCAUUAAGGAGUUCGAAAAAUGAAAAUGUAGUGUCUAGGAUUUGAAUUUGGAACCUCGAGGUGAAUAAUGAGUCAAUCUCUAGUUUUGUUUUCGGGGAUUUAAAACAAAAUAUAUGCUUCAUAUACAUGAGUAAUAAACCUGAGCGGUGGAUUCAUGGUUUUAUUAACGGUAGUGUCUAGGAUUUGAAUUUGGAGCUCAAGGUGAAUUAUGAAUCCCUUAAACCACUGAAUCAACUUCAAGUCUUGUAUUUGGGGAUUCAAAAUUUAUAUAUAUGUACUAAAAAUAAAAUAAAAAUACCUUAUAUAUAUAUAGUGUAGGAUUUGAACUUGGAACCUCAGGGUGAAUUAUGAAUCCCCUAAACCACUGAGUCAACCUCUUGUCUUGUGUUUUGGGGAUUAAUGUAGUUGGUGGCUUGAUUGAUUCUUUAAACAUGAUUUUUGGUUGUAUUCACGUUAGUCAAUUUUACUAUUGAGUUCAACUUUGAUGCUCAUUUCUAAGGCUUACUUCAUUCCACAUUUUACUAGCUUAUUUGAGUGUAAUUACCCUAUGUCACAUAAAUAUACAUAGAUUUGUGAAUGCCCAAGGGUGUGGACUAGUGGUCAAUGAAGUGGGUUAAGAACCCUGAGGUCUUAGGUUAAAAUUCCAGCAGAGGCAAUAAACACUAGGUGAUUUCUUCCCAUUGCUCCUAGCCUUGGUGGACAGAGUUACCUACCUGUUAUUGGUGGGAGGUGCCAUGUAUCACGGGAAUUAGUCGAGGUGUGCGCAAUCUGUCCCAAACACGGAUAUUAAAAUAUAAAUAAAUUAUGAAUACAACAACAACAUACCCAGUAUAUUCCCACCAAGUGGGGUCUGGGGAGGGUAAGUGUACGCAGUCCAUACCACUAACUCAAAUGUGAGAUAGAGAGGUUGUUUCCGAUAGAUCCUCGGCUCAAAAUAAAUUAUGAAUGACUUGUGCAAAUAAAAGGUUUUGUGCUGGAAAUGAGGUGUGUAUCAGUAAUGCAAAGUUUAAUAACAGAUCAAAUUUUCUUCUUGUGAAGAAAAAGUAGCACUUGCACUUUGCAUCAGUAACCGGAUAUAUUUUCAAGAUGACUUGAUCCCAAUGUUAUUUGAUGUGUCCAGUAGUAAACAAUUUGAUGCUCAUCUACCUUUUGGGUCCUAUAACCUAUUUAAGUAGCCAGUUUGUGGUUCUCUUCCCUAGCAGUUCUUAUAUGUAAACAUAUUUUUGGACUUUGCAGGUUGCAGGUUUUGCAGGAGAAGAGCAGCUAGGGCAGGCUCUAGAAGGAGCUGAUGUGGUUAUCAUCCCUGCUGGGGUGCCCCGAAAGCCUGGUAUGACUCGUGAUGACCUGUUCAACAUUAAUGCGGGUAUUGUUAAAUCUCUUUGCACGGCCAUUGCUAAGUAUUGCCCCAAUGUGAGUAAGCCUUUUUAAUUAUGUCUGUAUAUUGGCUGUAUAGCAGUUCAGGUAUUCUUGAAAAAGUUACUGAUUUCUUCUUUUUGCUACUACUACCUUUGAUCAACUUUAAAGGCUCUUGUCAAUAUGAUCAGCAAUCCUGUGAAUUCCACUGUCCCAAUUGCUGCCGAGGUGUUUAAGAAGGCUGGAACUUAUGAUGAAAAGAGGCUCUUUGGAGUUACCACACUUGAUGUGGUUAGGGCCAAGACUUUCUAUGCUGGAAAAGCCAAAGUAAAUGUCGCUGGUAUGUUUCUUAGUCUACUUCUGGGUUUGAAUUAGUUUUGUUUCCCUUUACAUGAAACAGUAAAUUCUUGCAAUUCUGUCUGUUUUACUUACUUGUGGAUUCAUUGUUCAGAGGUCAAUGUCCCAGUAGUUGGUGGUCAUGCUGGCAUAACUAUCCUCCCCUUAUUUUCUCAAGUAAUCUUUCUUCGCCCUUGUUGAAUCUUUUUUCCUUUAGUAUGUAUAUUUUGUUGUAAUAAGAGUUCAAUUGAACUCUGUUUAGUAUGGAUUAUUUAAGUUAAUUGGUGAAUUUUCCACCUUGUGGCCUUACUGAGUUUUGUUUCAUCACUAACUUUUGGAUACAGGCCACUCCAAAGGCAAAUCUAUCAGAUGAGCAGAUUGAGGCACUCACAAAGCGAACACAAGAUGGUGGCACAGAAGUUGUUGAGGCCAAGGCUGGAAAGGGUUCGGCCACCCUCUCAAUGGCGUAUGUUUCCAUCUCAUGCUUUUCUUGAUUUCUUUGGCCUGCCCAUGCCCUGCUAGAUACUAUGCCAUUUUUAGAUACAUCGUGUUUUCAAAACAAUAAUAUGUGGCAUGAUGAUACCCCCUCCAUAAUUCAAACUCAUGUUUGCAUGUUCCAUUGGAUAAUCACAUGUGAAUAUAGCAUAUGUUGCACUUCAUGCAAUAUAGUACUUGUAGAACUGGAGAAGAAACGGAGAAAUAAAAAGAUUAGGAACUUCUCUUGAUAUUACUGGCACAAGCCACUUUGAUUAUCAAACUUUCCUGUUUGAACUCGUUUCUGAGCAGUUAGUUUUACUUCCACAGCUAUGCUGGUGCUAUUUUUGCCGAUGCUUGCUUAAAGGGGUUGAAUGGCGUUCCCGAUGUUGUGGAGUGUUCUUUUGUGCAGUCCAACGUGACGGAGCUUCCCUUCUUUGCAUCCAAGGUAAUAAUCCUUUCCUAUCCUAUCCUACAAAGACACUCGAGGUCAUAUUUACUAAAAACGUAUCUCUGUGGAACUUGCCUUUCUGCUAGAUGGUUACAUUUUUUCUUUGAACUGUCUGGUUCAUUUGGUCAUCACCCUCUAAAUCAUAUGUGGGUUUCAAAAUUACUUAGCCACGAGGUAAAAAACAAAUUUGAUAGUUCAAGCUUGGGCCCUGGAGACAGGAUUUAUUCUUCCGUCUGUUUCGUCAUUUUAAGCAUGCUCUCGAACAGUUUUCUGAACGUGUCACACACAUCUGAAUGUAGCUAACUUAUUGAGUCAGAUUCCACGGCUAAACUCAGUACUUCCUGUUAUCAACUGACUAGUGUGUGCUUCUCUGUAAAUGGUUAUUGUUCUGAGUCAACUCUUUUUGUUUUGCUUGCGUAAUAUCACUGAGCCUGUACUUUUACAUAUCAUAUUCGUGAUUUUGAUCUCUUACUGGGUUUCAUGAUUCUGAGUUGGUUGCUGCUUUUAUCCUUUCAGGUGAGACUCGGGAAAACUGGAGUGGAGGAAGUCCUAGGCUUGGGCCCACUUACAGACUACGAGAAGAAAGGACUUGAAGCUCUUAAGCCAGAGUUGCUCUCCUCCAUUGAAAAGGGAAUCAAGUUUGCCAAUGCAAGCUAAAAUCAAGUUUAUGAUCUAGUUCUCCAAUGACAGUUUUGGAUCCUUUUGGGCAAUUGUGUUGUGUAUCCCCUGCAAGUUUCUUGCAGUCGGAGGCAUAGAUUUAGUUCUUUCGAUGUACACCGAUGGUUCUAGAAAAUAAUGAUUGGCAAACUGGUGGCAAUGCAUUUGCCUUAGCGUGGAGGUGUUAUUCUCACAUAGAUCAUUUUUCAAUUACGGUUAGAUGCAAGGCAGUUGAUGUGCCAUGAAGAAUGUUCAUGAACAAUUACUGUAUUUAAGAACAGUUUAACUCUUUCAGUCAUUAUAUUUUUGAAUGCAAUCGUGCAUUAUUUGGAAUCUCAAUAGUAAGUCAUAUAGAAGGUGUUAAGAGUUCCAAGAUAACCAAAUACCGUCCAGAUAAGUCGCCCACCAAAGCUCAAGUUAACAGAUUAUGCCUAUGUACACCCUUACUGUCCUUCCCAUUUUCUUUCCUGAUAGUGUUUUUACAAUGCAAUAAAUACUCCCAAAGCAACAAAUAAUACACAUCAGCCUAUUAUGCUCUUUGUACAAUCAGGUUACAGCUGCAGGACCUUGCAUGAUCCCGCCAAAUUGUUGACAAUAAGCACUGAAAAUGGAGAGAUUUUCAGCACGUGGUUUUUAAUUCAAACAGGUUGAGCAAUCUUGGCACCAAACAGGUGUUAAAAAUCUCACAUUACCACCAUAAACACCUUCUGCGUACAGCGUGACAGGUUUUAUGACGAGAAGAAUGAGAGAUCCAACAGUUCAUCUGCUCCCAAAACCACUGAGGCAAGGACCAGACCUCGGACUUCCUCCUGUACUUUUAUAUCUUGAAAGAAACCGUCACGCAAGAGACACCAGACAUCUUUCAGACGAGUGUUUGAACAUGCGCCGGCUCCAAUGCACUGAUAAUCAAAAUUUCCUGCAAGGCUGUAAAAUAGAUGAAGUUACACAACACAUUCUCAUGAUAGGCAAGAAACACCAUGACACACUUAAAAAAGAACACAAAGAAUCUAGACUACACAGAGCCUCAAGCCAGCGAAAAUAAAUCAAGAAAUAGUCAAUGAAGUAACACUGUAACAGUUCCUCGACUAACCUCUAUGUUUAACAGAAUUACCCCAUCCCAGUUUAGUAAUAAAUUCAAAGAGGAAAGAAGCAUUUCAAGCAAAAAAGAUAACCACCAUGAUUUCUUUCCACUAUAUGAUGGUGUUCCCAACCGCAAGAGAUAACCAGGGAGCCACAAGCCCAUAAUAACAGCGUGGACAGAAAAUAGAAUGGAAGAUUCCAAGGGUGCCUUGUUCUAGGGAGGGGAAACUUGCUGCACAUGCUGCCUUGGUGAGCAGUCGGGUAACUAAAGAAACAAGAGGGCUAGGAAAUGGGUGGAUCCACAGAUGAUUAAACAACCUUUUUCUUUUUCGGAGCAAGUGAUAUUUGCAUUGCCACUUUCUCGGAAAACUACUAAAAGUAUUUUUUCUACUUGUGGAAGAUUUGGCAGCUUCUGCAUUUCUUUCAAACCACGUCCUGGAAAAAGCCGAGGGUCUAUUGGAAACAGCCUCUUUACAUCGGAAAGGUAGGGAUAAGGUCUGUGCACACACUACCCUCCCCAGACCCCACUUGCAGGAUUAUACUGGGCAUGGUAUUGUUGUAUGGAAGAUCUGAAAGAAACACUAGUAUGUUAAACAUGCUCUUUCCUUUUAGUUUCAAUAACCUAUGUCCUAACAGUAUGCUAGAGGACAACUAAUCAAAACAGUAUAGGUAAAGUAUUUUUUCCUUGUUCACAUUAUUUCACAGAAGGAUGGAGAGAGGUCAUCAGGAAGUUCUAUGGAAAAAUUCAAAUCCAUCGACUUCCGUUGCAGAUUAAGCUGAACAUACUCGAGUUUCAAAACCAAAUAUUUAGUUUGCAAAAAGAAACACAAAGAAAGAUCGGUUUUGUCAACGGCAGACCAAUUUGCGUGUAUCUCGACUAUUCCACUAGUAUCUGUCACCUCCCACCACUCAGGACCGAGUUAUUCUGCCUAACCAUGCUUACGCAGAUGGCAACAAAACAUUCGGCACUUUUGCAUCUACUGAGAUUUGACCCAUAGUCUCCCAUGGUUUAAUCCAACUUAAUUGAUCACUAGGCCAUAUCCGUAGGUGCAAUACGAAACAAGAUUUUCUACCCAAAAAAAGGUAUGUAAUUCUCAUUGACCUCAAAGAAUAAUAAGGGAAGUUUAUGCAUAUAAUGCACUCUAUUGUUUCUGCAGUUCUACUCCAAUUCUCCUUUUGGCAGUGGUUACUACAAGAAAAAACAUAAAUCCAUCCUCACUCUUAGAGAGGGGACACAUUUAUUAAUCUAUUUCUUAAUUAAUAUUUGUUUAUGUAUCUUAUAUCUGCAGCAAGUCCUACAGUGUAAUCAUCGCCAUUUUUAUACAUUAUCAAUAGUUAAUACAGCUGAUUAUGCAAGUAUCUAUGCAGCUCCUUCAUACUGACAUUACAUUCACCAAGUCACUGAAGCAACCGAUAACCAUGGUUAUGGAAAGCCCUCCUUAAAUGGCCAAUCUACAUGGUGGUUCUGUAUGGAUGCCAGAAAAGGCCCAAAAAGUGUGAGUACAACCAAGGAAAAGAUUUGCUGAUUGCUUAAAUUAUAUUAGAACAAUUCGUCCUUUCUUAAUUUCUUUUUUCUGAUGACUAACACUAGGUCUUGUAACAAAACAAAGCUGGAAACAGAAUAGCUAAGAAAACGAAACAGGGGUAGAAAGGGAGGAAGAGGGGGGAAAGUAUUUACUCAAAUCAAGAGCUUAUCAUGUUUUAGGUGAACGUCUGAUCCAGAUGCUGAAGAACUAUCACUAUCAGAAUCUGCAGAUAGUAUAGCACAUUAAAUUAGAGAUACACCGUGAGGUACUUGCUGAAAAUCAGUUAAACAACGAGCAACUAUUAUGCAUGUUGCAUUGAGACUUGCAGGAGAGUCAUAAUUACCGCUAGAGGACGAUCCUGAAUCACUGCUGGAACUGCUUGAGCUGCUAGACCUACUUGCACUAUCCAAUGGUUUUCCACCUUCCGUAAGCGUAGCAGGAGUUGUAUCCUUUUCACCUGCUCGUACGCGACAGCAAGAACAAUGAGUGUUUUUCACCUAACACAUGAAACUUGAAAGUUGAAACCUAUCUAAGAGAAUAUUUCCUCCUAUGAGACACUUACCAGUUCCAUUCUGUUUUGGUGCAUCAGCAACCACUGACGUAGCAUUCUACAAUGAAUUUUCACAGAGUAAGCACCUCAAACAGAAAAACACACAAUGACUACUAAAGAGGGGAUGAAGAGCAUGAUACAUAAGAGAACAAAGCUCACCACUAUUCGAGCAGUCUGAGCAGCUUCUUCCCUGGCUCGAGCAAGUUCAGCUUUUCUCUUGUACUUGCUAAAACUCUUUCUGAAAUUUGUUACAAAUCUAUCAAGCUCCCAGAGUGUUUCUGCAUCAACACUAUCUAUAUCUACUUCAAUCUCAUCGUUGUCUUGACUAAGUGCUGAAUUCCUCUUCUUAAUUAUCUGAACAAUUGCAUCAAGCUUUUCUGAAGGUAAAUUCUGAAGAUUUGUGCUAAGUUUCUGCUUUUCCUCAUACGUCAUGUCUCUCUUAUUGGGAUCUUUUGCCUUAGGUUUCUUUGGAGCUGGAGUCCUAGCAACAUGAACUGUACUAGAAGUCUUCAUCUUGGGACGACCAACCGGCCUAGUCAUUGACUCAGAUCUAGCCAAAGUCUGCAGUUGAUGAGCAUGUGGAGCGAGAGAAUGAGAAGCCACUGGGGUAUGGAAAAAGGGAGGAGCAUAAGAGGUCAUUCUUGAGGUAGGGGUGGGAAUACUACCAUCAGGAUACGUUUGCUGCCUCCAAUCUGAAUUAUACUCGGCCUCUAUAACUGCCCAUCUCUCUUCAAAAAUCCCUGAUAAAUGCUCGGCCAUAACAUGAACAUCUUGCCCUUUAGGGUUAUAAGUCAUGGCAUUACGAAAGACAAGUCUUACGUCUUCUGCGAAUUCCCUUGGAAACUUGUACCAAUUCUCAGAUAGCCUAGUCUUAAUCGUGCCCAAAUCCAUAGGAUGCUUAAUGAUGUCAUGAUAAUCAUGCAAACCGAGAGCUUCCGCAUUCACUGGCUCAUUAAACACCCAACCAUGCUGGUGUUUCAUUAACCUCUGAAGCAAGCUGCUACAAUUCCUAAACACCUGAAGUCUAUGCUUAUCAAACCCAGACACAAACGCAAACCCAUUCUCUGAAUUAGCACUAUGCCUCCCCGAGCCAUUAGGCUUAAAUCUUUUAUUGCUUUCAGGAGGCAAUCUAUCUUUACCAAGUAGGAACUCGGAAUUCCUGUAAUACUGGUUAGCCUUCGGGAUCCUCUUCUCCUUCUCCAUAAAUUCAUUAGAACCAUUACUGUUUUCGACAGUCAGAAAACUAGGUUGCUGGAAUGGCCUUGAUCCAAUAUGCCCCGCUGAACGCACACCAGAAUGCAUUCGCGCUAAAGACCUAUUCUUGAUCACACCAUUAUCUAUAUAUCCCGGAUGACUAUAUGAGCUAAUAGAACCGCCAGGAACAGUAGUAGUAAUACUACCAGCAUUAAUACUACCGCCAUUUAUACUCGUCCUACACGUUGUAAGCUGAAUCUGUUUAGCCUCGAGCUCGUUUACCAAGCUCCUAACUUGAUCAAGCUCACUCUUAAAACUCAUACUUAGCUCUCUAAUAUCAUCUCUCGACUUCACUCCAGUUAAAUUAAUCCUAAUUCUAUCACGAAUUCUCGAAAUUACCGGCUUUAUAUACCCAUUCUCCACUUCAAGAUUGUAACUUCGUUGCUUAUUUCUAUGAUUCUGUGUCGGGGCUAGGGUUCCACUGCUCCCUUCUGGUACUUCACCAGCUCCGCUGCCGCCACCAAUAGCUUCAGGUACAUCUCUACCACCUCCCUCUUCCUCCGCCGCCGCCUGUAUCAGUUGCUCCGGCGAUUCCGCUUUCUCAGCAUCUAGGUUUUGUAAGGACGGCUCCGGCACAUUAUCAUUCUCGUUCGUAUCCCUCCCGCCGUUGCAUGUAACAUCCGGUUCAGCUGCAGCUGAGCUGACGGCGGCGGUGUUCGCCGGAAAAUCAUCAGUGUUAGUAUUUUCUAGGGUUUUGCGGCGGCGCUUGCGGGUAUAAACUUUGUAAUUAUCGCCCCAACGAAGGCUAUUUCUGGGAUUCAAAUCGUUUAAAUCUGAAUCCAUACAUGUAAUUCAAAAUUAUUUUAACCAAAAACUGUUGAACAAACUAAACCCUAACCCUAAAAAACUCGAAAACCCGACCCACAAAAAACACAACAACUAGGAUCUGAUUGAGGUAAACACUUCAAUUUUCCCCCAAAUUGAAAAUUGGAAACCCUAGAUCGGUCGGAAAUCGAAGAAGUACGGAACUAGGGCUUUUCGGAAAAGGAGGAGGAAAACAGAAAUUAGGAAAAGUUGAAGGAUCUGUUGAGAAAAUAAGAAAAGUUUAGGAGUGAGAUUGCAGAUUUUAUUUUUUUUCGAUUGAGAGAAAAUGUCUUCGAUCCGAACUCUACUCACCUACUUUCUUCCUUUCUUUUAAGUACUCAUUAUAUUUUAUUGGUCAAACCAGUUGACAGGCACUCAACUUGAUACCAUAUUUUAUUUUGUCACCUCAAUUAAGCUUUUGUAUAUUUUGAACACUUAAAUAAUUUAGAAUUUAUAGUUUUAAACACUUUUUCAAUAAUUAGCUAAAAUACAAAUUAUGUGUAUUACACACGCCAAGCAUAAUAACCACUUAAAAAAUGACAUGUGGCAUUUGAGACUAAAAAAAAUCAUUAAAAAUAAAUUAUAAAAAGAUUACUAACUUUUAUAAAAAAAAAAAGUUAGCUUCUUAACCAAUCCUCUCCUCCUCACAUAAUUCCCCCGCCAUAACCAUUACUCCCUUACUAAUAACUAUCUUUCACUUCAUUUUUUAAUCUUUUUUUUUUUAAUUCAGAUAAACUUCAUAAGAGAAUUUAAAAAAGAAGCUAGAAACGACACGAAACAUCACACCAACAGCUGCUAACUAAAAAGUCGUAGUUAAAAAAAUGAAUGGAUAAAAUCUGAAAAUUAAGAAACUGAAACCGUGGAUUUAUAUUUUUGCAAAUGAAAUGGAUUAUUAAUUCGUAUGAUUGUUCUAAAAAAAUAAAGUAUUUGUCAGAAAUUUCUUGAAAUCCAGAUUCGAUUUCUUUUCAUUAUAAACUUCUUUUCUUUUCUUUUAAUUUUUUUCUGUCUAGUUUUAAUUAAUAGGCGAAAUUAUCAACUGCAUUAAUAUAUUAAUAUAGUGAGAUAAAAUCUUGAAAGAAAAAUGAAGUUUCAUAGGACUUCUUUUUUUGAUGAUUUUUUUUAAGAACUUAAAGUUUAUUUUUGAUUCUGAUUAAACGCAAAAGAAAAUGUCACGUGUUUUAAGAGAAUGAUGGUGGUCUUAUUUUUUGUGUUGAACAAGUUAACAAUGGUGGAUAAUUUGUUAAUGGUAGAAUCUUAAAUGGAGAAGAAAGAGAAAAAGAAGAAAGAAAGAAGAAAGCUGAAGAAGAUGAAGGGAAUAAAAAGAAUAAAAAAUUCAAAAACAAAGUCAUUUUUAGACUCUUCGCGCGCCUAGUUGAGGUGAAAAUCAGACAAGUUGUCAAGUCAGCAGAAAGUGUCAAAAUGACACAGUUAGACCUUAUUUUAGGUGCCUAAAGUGAACAACAUCCACUUGAAGUGGCAAAGUGAAAGAUGGUGUCAAGUUAAAGGGUCUGUCGAUGGAUUUGGCCUAUUUUAUUUGUUUUUUGAUUUUUCAUCCGAUAAUUAAUACCUGUAUUAGAUCGACAACUCACGUCGAAAAGUUCAACAUUAAGGGUAAAGCUCUUCUUAAGAAAGGCGACUCCAUAUUCUUGGGAGACUCAACCCUGAAACCUCUAAUCUAUCCAUAUAUAUAUAUAUAUAUAUAUAUUGAACUUGAGAAUAAGAAAAACAAAUAUAUAUAUAUAAUAGGAGAAGUAAAAACGCCACAUGUCAGCACCACAAAAGUCAAUAAUUUGUUUUUUAAGAAAAUUGUUUUACAAAUCUAUCUAAAAAACUAUCUCUAUUUAUAUCUAAUACUAGUUAUUAAUAGUCCGUGUUAGGCACAGGCCCAACAAAUAUUUUUAAAAAAAUUAUUUUAAUUAUUGUGAUUUAUAAUAUUUUUUAAAAAUAUAUAACAUAUUAUUUUCUUAGAUAUUUUAAAUUGUUAACUAUUGUAAUUUAUAAUACUUUUUAUGUAAUUUUCAAAUGCUUAGAUGACUAUAAUAAUUAAUUAUGGAUGAUAUAGUAAAGCUACGAGUGAAGCAGCGAAGCAGAUAUGUCUUAAUGACUCACAAAAACUAAUUAGAAGCGAUACAAUAAAACUACUAAAAAAAAAUACUUGUGAAAAAAUUUAAAUGGUCAUAAUAAUUAAUUAGGAGUGAUAUAGUAAAAUCACGAUUGAAACAACAAAGCAGACAUAUCUAAUUAGAAGUGAUACAACAAAAUUACUAUACAAAAAUACCUGGUGAAGCAGCUGAAGCAGACAUGUCGUAAAUAUCUAUUUUACUUUUUAAUUGAAUAUUAUUAAUUUUCUAAUACAUAAAUAACUUAUAAUAAUUAAUUAGAGAUAAUAUAAUAAAAUCACGGAGGAAGUAGCUUAUGAAGCAGGCAGGAUCAUAAAUAUCUAUUUUACUUUUUUAGUAAAUAUUAUUAAUUUUUUAAUACAUAAAUAACUUAUAAUAAUUAAUUACAGAUCACAUAAUUAAAAUCACGGAAGAAGCAGUUGAUGAAGCAGACAGGAGUAGCAGGUAUACUGACGGAGAGCUGCCUGUUUCUCCUGCCUUUUGCCUUUUUUUUUUUUUGGUUGAAGGGGGAGCAUAAUAGUUAAUAAUAAAAUAGAGUUAUUACAAAAUAGGUUUUCAGGUCCUCUAAAAACCGAUGGUCUAUAGCAACAAUUAUAGUAGAUACUUGAUUAGAUGUAACCUUUCUAGGAUAACUAGUUCCUAAUUUGUUUGCUUCCAGUAGAUCGUUCACAGACAAAGGUGGAGCUGUCAAAAUUUGCAUCUGGUCAAAACAUGGCUCCCCUCCCCUUGAUCUUGCUAGUGCAUCAGCGACCUUAUUCUAUUCUCUGCAUAUGUGCUUCAGUACUGGGUUGCCUAGUCUCUAGAUUAAGUACCUGCAUUCGGAGAUGAUAUUGCAGUAGCCAAGAUGGUUAGCAUGAAUCAUAUUGAUUGCAGUAGCUGAAUCCGAGUUAAUUUCGAGAGGCUAAUCUGAGACGUUCUAGGAUGGCUAAUAGUUCAGCCUGUUGUGCAUCAACAUGGGGGAGGUAUUUUGUGUAGCCUAGUGUCCAGUUUCCUUCAUGGUCUCUAAAGACACCUCCCAGCCUACCUGGACCCAGUUGGCAAGUUACACUUGCGUCAGUGUUAAGCUUGUGCAUGCCCAGUUGAGGAGGUUUCCAGUUAAGGUAGAUAGUGGAGGUAGGUUUGGGGUAAUUACUUGGGUUGUCAAUGAUUAAGGCAUAUUUAUUUGCGAGUGCUAAGGUUUGUUCAAUAGAGAUAUUAUCAUCUUUGUUAUUAAACAAGUUAUGGUUCCUGUUUAUCUAAAUAUUCCACAAACAGAAGGGCAGAAUGGUUUCCCAAGAGUACCAGGUAUUAAAGGGCUUAUUCCUCAGAUUCUUCCAGGUGUCAACCCUGUUGUGAUUAUUGAGGAAUACAGAAUUGAAGGAGGCGAUGGAGGAACUUUUAGAGACAAUCCCAUCCCAGAAGGUUAUGGAUUUGAGCAUUAGAAGGAGAUAUGAGAAAUGUCUUCUACACUAUUAGGACACGACUUGCAGUGAGGUAAGACCCCCAUAUCAAGGUGGUUGAGGUAGCUCCCAGUAGGCAAUUUGUUAUGAUUAAGGGUUAACUGAUGAGUUUAUCCUCCUAAUCAGUUUGAAGUACCUUGUCUAUGGACAGUAUCAAGGGUUAACUGAUCUUCGUCUUUGUUAAGGGGGCCUGUCACAUAACUCUUGAUGGACUGGUGGUUGGGAAUCCAUUUGUCCAUGAAUAAUUUGACUCUGUUCCCUUUACACACAGUCCAUCUAUGGUGUUUUGAUCAUAUGGACCAGCCCUCUUCAAUGCAUUUCCAAGUUCUGGAGCAUGCCAUUUGGGUUAGGCUUGUAUGAUAGUUUCUACAAUAUUUGUUGUAGAGGGUUUUUGCCCAAAUGGAUUGGGUGUUAUUGUACAUUCUUUAUGCUAGACUAGUGUGGGUAGCUUUGUUUCUAUUUUCACAUUUUUGGAGUCCCAGACCUCCUCUCUCUUUGGUCAAAGAAACAGUUUCCCAGCUAAGCAUGUGGAGUUUUUUCUUAUCAGCAGUGGUACCCCAGAUAAACUUCCUUUGAAUUUUGUUUAUGGUUUUUAAAAUUUUGUUAGGAAGUUUGACAAAUUACAUAACAAGGGAGAGGAUGGAAGCAAGGGUAGAUUUAGUGAGAACUAGUCUCCCAGCCAUAGAUAACAUGUUGACUUUCCAUCCAGCAAGUCUUUUAUGUAUAUUGUCUAUGAUGAACUGGAAGUCACUAUUGUUUAUCUUAGCAUGGAAGAUGGGGAAACCCAAUUACUUACCAAAAGAGUCACUGGGAUUGAUUUUGAGGAUGGUAGAGCAAGAGGAAAUGGUAAUGUCUUUGCAGUUGGAGGAGAAGACCACUUUGGACUUGGUUUGAUUGAUCUUUUGGCCUGAAUGAUUACAAAAAGCAUUAAGGACAUGGUUAAUAGCCUGGCAUGCUUCAGGAUUGGCUUUAGAAAACAGAGUUAGGUCAUCAGCAAAGAAAAAUUGGGAUAUGAAAGGGCCAUGGUGGGAGAUGUUGAUGGGUUUCCAUUCUUUACUGAGAACUUGAGAGUCAAUGGCCCUGGAUAACCUUUCUAUGCAUAGAAUGAAGAGGUAGGGGAAAGGGGAUCCCUUUGCAUAAUGUCUCUAGUUGGUUUGAAUUCCUUGGACUUAAAGCGAUUAAUGAGAAUAGAGAUGGAUGUGGAAGAGAUAUAGGACAUAAUGAGUUUGAUAAGAGACUGGGGAAAGCAAAGUAAUCAAUUUUCAAUAUCAUAUUGCCCUGUUUCCCUUUUAUUUUUUUGAAAUGGGUUAUGAAUUCCUGGAUGAUAAUAGCAUGGUCAGAGGCCUUUCUAUUGGCAAGGAAGCUGGCCUGACUGGGGCCAAUGAUUUUGGAAAGGAAUGGUGUUAUUCUGAAGAUAGUAAUUUUAGUGAUUAAUCUGUACAAGGUAUUGCAUAGGCCAAUGGGCCUAUAACUCUUGAUAUACACAGCAUUAGGGCAUUUAGGGAUCAAACACAGAAGGGUUCUAUUUAUAGAGGGGUCCAUAGUGCUGGUGUUGAAGGUUUCCUAGCAGAAGGUCUUAACCUUGUGUUGCACUAUAGCCCAGUAUUUCUAGAAAAAGAUGGGUUGGAUGCCAUCAGAACUAGGAGACUUUAGAGGGCUGAAGGAGUUGAUGGCUCUGGUAAACUCAGUGUCUCUUAGGGGGUGGUUAUAAGAGAUUGGUCAGUGGUGGUCAGGGUGUUAGUGGACAUGUGGAUUUGAUUGGAGGAGUAAGUAGAAAUUGGGGAGACCAGAUGGUAAGUGGUGAAAAUGGAGGAGAAGAAUUCAGUGAUAUAAGUUUCUAUGUCAGCCUGGUUCUCAACCCAGUUACCAGUCUCAUCCUUUAAGUUUAGGAUUUUGUUCCUUCUCCUUCUGUUGAGGGUAGAGACAUGAAAGAAUUUGGUGUUGGAGUCCCCUUGUUGGAGCCAGUUUAUUCUUGAUUUUGUUCUCCAAAAAUAUUGUUCAUACUUAAACAUGUUAUUCAGAAAUAAGAUCACUCUCCAGGUUUUAAAGAAAUGAACUGGAGGCAUAGUGGGGAGAUUUUUGGAUUCCUUCAAUUCUAGCUAUCAGUCUUUUCAGUUUUUGGAAGAUGUUUCCAAAAACCUCUUUAUUCAAAAUGGUGGAAUUAUGUUGGAGGUUGGUGAUAGCUUAUAAGAUAGGAAGAGAAAUGUCAAAGGAAUGGUAGACUACUCUUUCAAAGCUAGGGUGUCUGUUCCACAUAGGUUCCAUUCUGAAGGCUCUGUUGACGAAGUGUUGGUUUAGCCUAGAGAGACUAACCAGCACGGGGCAGUGGUCAGAAUGGGUUCUGAGGAGGUGAGUGAUGCAAGUGUCAGGGUACUUAAAAAUCCAAGGGUUAUUGACUAGACAUCUAUCUAGUCUUUCAAGGAUAAGUCUGCCUUUUUUCCUAUACCUUUUGUUUGUCCAAGUAUAUUUGCUACCCUUAAAGCCCAGGUCAACUAGACCACUCAGGUUCAAACAUUUCCAGAAAAGGCUGGCUCUGUGGGGGUUUAUAUGGUUUCCCCAUACUUCUCCUUGGCUUAGAGGAUUUCAUUGAAGUCACCCCCUAUGAACCACUCAAAGUUAUGAUUUUUAGCUAAAGUAGUGAUGUCAUCCCAUAAAGUAAUUCUGGUGGGGAAGUCUCUGCUAGCAUACACAAUAGUAAAAAGCUAAGAGUGAGAGGAUUGAAGUACCUUAACUCUGGUGUGGAUAAAUUAUUGGGUGAUGGAGAUGUCUUCAAGUUUGAGGAUGUUAUCCUUCCACAUGACCACCAUCCCUCCAACUCUGUCAAUGGAAGGAGAUUAGAUUUAAUCAUUAAAGCCCAUCUCAGAGGUGAUGCCCUUAUACUCAGCCAUUUUUAUUUCCAGCAGAACAAGCACGGCAGGGUUGUGUAGCUUCACUAGGGAGGUACAUUUCCUCCUAAAGGUAGCAUUAUGGGCCCCUCUAAUAUUCCAAAUAAUGAAGUUGAUCAUUGGAUGCAUUGGGAUUGGUGGGAUGGUGAUGACAGUCUUCCCUUUCCCCUGGGUUUGUAAGGGGUUGGGUGUCUUGAAUGGUCUCAUUGUUAUCCCAGGUGGGUUCAGUUCCAGUAUGUUUUUCAGGGUCAGAUAAAAGGUCAUUGAAGUCUUUGGACAGAGCACUAUAAUAGCUUCUUUUGCUGGAUUUUUGAACUCCUUUUGAAAGUAGUCCUCUAGGAGAAAAGUCUAUGGAGCUUGAUCUCCAAGGUUUUUUAAAAUCUCUUCCAGUUCCUGGUUGCAUUAUUUCAGAUUGUUGAGGUUGGAGCUUCCUUAUCCUUCUUGGGUUUUCCCCAUUUUCCUGGAGGUAGAGGCAAUUGAUGACUCAUGAGAGAGCCCAUUGGGUUACAGGGAAUGAAAGAGGAGCCCAGAAGGGAGACAUUGGAAGCUUGAGUUGGGAAGAAAGGUAGGUUCUGAAAUAUUUGGGAUAGGAGGUGGUUGUGAUCCUGAGUGUGAAGGUGUUCAGAGUCCAUAGAUACUUGUGCCUGCAAGAGGGUUUGCAUCCACAAUUGGUUGCCCAGUUGAUGGAUUGAGCGGCCUAUUUUUUUCUUCACCACAUUGUUUAAGUAGUGGGGAUCUUGCAGAGUUAGGAUCACAGGUUGGUCCCCAAUGCAGGCAUUGAGAGUUAGAGAAAAGUCCUGCAGCAGUAGUUCUAGAUAAGAGGUUGGUGAGUGUUCUUGGGGAUGAAGUGCAGUCAUAAAAAAUAUGGGGUUCUUUGGUGUGUAGGGUUGCUGAGUUUUGUCCAUCCGUAUUUUUGGGGUGACAAGAUUGGGAAAGGUUAGGUAAAUUCUUACCAUUUUUAGAAAGGGGAAGGAGGUUGGUAGGAGGUGAGUUAAGAGAUAUGACCUCAAUGGUCAUAUCGUGGGCGUUGGGGGCAUCAUUAGAUCUCUUUUCAGAGAAGUUAAGAGUGUCCAUUAAAUGGAUUGAUCCUUCUAGGGGGCCAUGGGGUUUAAUGGACAUGACCUUUAGGGUCUUAUCAGCUACAGUGGGAGGCUUGUCAUUCUUUUCCUCAGGAAUGUUUUCACUUAGCGCAUUAAAUCUAUUAUUAAAAGAUUGGGAUCUCUUAUGGUCCACAGAAGUGGUAGCUGUGGUGCUAGAAUUAGGACUAUGAGUUUUAUCGUUCAGGCGAUUUGAGGGAAUGUCCUCGCCUAAUGGCGUUGUAGUACUUUGUAUUGAUUUGGCUUUGAUUGCCGACCUAGAUGGGUCAUCAGACCUCUUUGGUGGCUGAGAAAGGGGAGUUGAUCUCUUGGAGUUACUGUCAAUCGAGUUUCUUUGGUGAGAGUACUUACCUGUCCGUGUUUCCGAAUCUCGAACCUAAUCUGUGGAUUUGUUUUUCUGGAAUCUUCUCUUAAGAAAACUUACCGAUUUCGACAUAUCCUCGUCUUUGUCUGUUGUGGGAGGAGAAGUAACUGGCGAAGCAGAUGAACUUGCAACUGGAGGCGUUUAUGGUGGUGGCGUAAAGGUACAAUUUUUUAGCCUGUGUCCUACUCUGCUGCAACCCACACAAAGCACGUCAUCUCCUUCGUAUUCUACCGGCUACGUGUAAUCUCCGAUUGUAAUAGUUUUUCUCACAAGUUCUCCUAAUGAGAUCUGGAUACAAAUGCGUGCAUAUCUCCCUCGAAGGGUUGAUGAUGUGCACGAGUCAAUUUUGAGUAGGGAGCCCAGAUGAUUGCCGAUUUUUUUCAGGAUCUGCUGGUCGUAAAGUUCCGUGGGUAACUGUGGUAGUCUAACCCAGAUGGCGGUGUGGGUCAUCGUUGAAAUGGAAGGCACAAAAUUUGAUUUUCAGGCAAUCACUGACAGGAAGCCCCCCACAAUGAACCACGGUUCCCCAUGCAAGGUUGUAGUUUUGUUCUCCUCCUCCUCCUCCUCGCCUUUUGCCUCUUAUUAGAUAGUAUCUACCUUUUGCCUCUUAUUAGAUAGUACAAGAUAAAAUAUAACCACGUUUGCAACAAAAAAAAAAAAUACUCCAAUUAACAAAUUUGGAGAAAAAACUGCUAACAAAAACUACCCAAGUUUCUCUGUUUCUUGCUUCAAACUGUUCCUAUUUUCCUUUAUUACUUUCAAUCUCCUAACUCUAAUUCUUUUUGCAUUCAAUUUUUUUGUAUUCAAUUUUUACUGUCUAUUCAUCAAUUAUGCUUUUUGAUUAAUAUUCUGGGUUGCAGGAAAAAGAAAAAUCAACGUCAAAGAAAUAUAUAAGAAGACGGGGUACAAGAGGAACCCCAAUCAUUUGUGGAGGAAAAGAUGAAUAAUGAAUAUUGCAGAAUCUCGAGUCUUCAGUGAAUUUUGAUACGAUUCCAAAAAAAAAUCUCAUAAAAUACUAUUGGUAAGAUACACUUUAAAUUAUAUCAUCAUACUAUCUUAUUAUAAAUUGCAACAUGUUCUUGAAAUUGAAAAAAAAUAUGAAUAAGGGUGGUGAAAUUCGGUGCACUUUUUCUGCGACAGAAUUUUUUAUAAAUAUUUUUCCUAAAAUAUGAAUUAAGGUUGAAAUUUGUGUGUGUUAAAUAUUGAAUUAUUUAGAGAUGGUAUCUUUAUCUUAAUUAAUUGAGACCAUUUCAUAGAAUAUAAAAAUAAUACAGAUCUAAAAAUAUGAGAUAUUAAUAAAUUGAAAUGAUAGGAUGAUGAUGUUGCUUGCCGGGCUUUUAGAUAAAUUAAUUUAUUUAAGAUCCCUUUACAUUAUUUGUUGGGGAGGAUUUUAUUUUGAUUCCCUUAUGUUGAGAAAUAGAUACAUUGAAUAGGAAACAAACAGGUAGAAAAUGAUAUUGGAUGGUUAUAGUGUGAAUAAGAUGCAAAAAAACACAAUCUUUCAUAGCACAUUGAGGAUCAGCAAAUAAUUAACUAAGAAAUUAAAGUAUUAAAUAUUACAUUUUAUAAUAAAAUACGUCACUAUUGGACAUAAUAGGCAGAAUAAUGCUUGAAGAUUAGAGAACAGAGAAUGCCUUAGCCUUGAGGCUAACUAUUCUUUUCAGUAAUAAAAUAAAACAAAGUAAAUACUACUCAAAUAUUGAUAACUUCAAAUAAUUAAUUAAUUAUGAGCUUUUUUUAAAAAAAUAACAAAAAAUACAUUUCAUGAGUGAGAAAUUGUAUUUAAAGGUGUCCAGUGGAAAAAGUAUAAAUAUAUCAAAUUUACAAGAUAAUGAUAAAAUUGCAUGACAAUGUAAUAAUAUUAUGUAAAGAAUAAUGCAAACGGAAAAUAAGAAACGAGUAAUAAGUAAAAAUUAAGAAAAUCAACCUAGAAUAAAUUAAAAGGCUUAUUCGAAUUUAAGUUGAUGAUAAGGUUAUUUGAAUUAUGAUAUAAAAAUUUAAAUUGAGAAAUUCUAAGCAACUCAUUAAAAUUUAGAUAUAUAAUAAUUUUUUAUAUAUGUCAUUUAAAUAAUAAUUGAGAUUAAAAUACAAAAUAUAAUAUUGAAAAUAGCAUGAAAAAAUGUAAUUGCUAAUAGUAUAUACUACUAAAAUAAUAAUAUUCCUAUUAAUUAAAAAUACUACCAUUACUCAAAUUUUUAGUCCGGCUAAAACAAACUUAUGAAAAACUUGAUCUUAUCAUUACAUAAACUUUAGUUUGGCUAAUUAAAGUAAGUAACGUCUGAAAACUAAUUAUAAUUAGAUUAUCAAAAUAAAAUAUGUCUAUUGUGAGUUUUAAUACUUAUAUAAAUUGAUAUUCAAGUUAAUUUUUUAAAAAAGUCAAACUGUUUAAGUUCUAAAUCUAUGCAUUUAUAAAGGAACUAUUAUUUUAAUUUCUAGAAAAAAAAAAUUACUAAAGGGAGUAGAAGGAUAAACUAAGGCUUAAAAAGAAUUUAAGUCAUGUACAAUUAAUAAAAUGAAUAUAUGAUGUAAUAAGCUACUGAAAUGUAUGCAUAUCUAUAUCUAUAAUUUAUAAUCAAUACUUAUGUCUCUAUAAUCUAUAAUUUAUAAUAUAUAUAUAAUAUUAAAAGUGUGAAGACCCUUAGAGAAGUGAUUUGAAUUUUUUUAUCCUUCAUUAAAAGACUCUUCUUUAGACAAAAUUAUCUUUUCACAAUUUUUUAAAUUUAUUAUUUAAUUAUUUUUUAUUAUAUUAACUAGACUUCCUAAAAUAUACGGGACUCAUAAAAUAUACGGUAGGAGGAUUAAUUAAUAUUUUCAUUUCUACUAGACUUCCUAAAAUAUAUGAGACUCCUAAAAUAUAUUAAUGGAGAAUUAGUUAAUAUUUUUCUUUUUACUGUUCAAUUAGAAAAAUACUCCUAAAAUAGGACUCUAUUAAGAAAAUACUUCUAUAAAUAUUGAGAUAUACGUUAAACUAGAGAACAAACCGAUUUGCCUAUUGUGAGAAUAUGAUUGAUGCUCAUUUAACUUGAUUCUAUUGCAUGUCUAGAUUGGUGGAUGCUUGAUUUUUCUAACCCUCAACUUCUUCACUAUUUUUGUCAGAAUAAUAGAAUUCAACAUGUGUGUGUAUGUAUAUAUAUAUGUUUUCAUUCAAAAUCAAUCUUUAAGAUUAAAAUAUUUGCUCAGACAAGAAUUAAUUGGAUCAAAAUCGAAGUUUUGUGAUCACUAUUGUAUUUUUUUUAUAGUUUAUAGGUCAUAAAUGAAUAUUAGUUGGCUUAGAAGAUUUUUUUGUGUAAAGGUUAGAUUUAAUUGUAUUGUUUUGAUAUCUUUAUUAUCUUAUUAUUUUAUUUUAAUUCACAUAUGCUAGAUGAAUGUGGGGUGGCUUAGAAUUUUUUCUUAGGUAAAGGUUAGGUUUAAUUGUAUUAUCGUAAUAUCUCUAUUAGUUUGUUAUUUUGUGGUAGUUUAUAGUUCGUAGAUAAAUCUUGAUCGGUUUUGAAAAAAUUUUGUGUGUAAAUUUUAAGUUAAUUAUAUUGUUUUGAUAUCACUUUUAUCGUAUUAUUUUGUUGAUAUUUAUAGGUGAUAAAUAAAUGUUGAUUGACUUUGAGGAAUUUUUUUAUGUAAAGGUUAGAUUUAGUUGUAUUAUUUUGAUAUCUCUAUUAUUGUAUUAUUUUGUUAUUGUUUACAGGUGGUAGAUAAGUGUCAGGCGACUUUGAAAAAAAAUUAUGUGUAAAGGUUGGAUUUAAUUGUAUUAUUUUGAUGUCUCUAUGAUUGUAUUGUUUUGUUGCAAUUUACAGAUGGUAGAUGAAUAUCGAUCGACUUUUAAAAAUAUUUUUGGUAAAGAUUAGGUUUAAUAAAUAAAUUCUCCAUCUUUACAUACUCAAAAGAUAUUAAAUUUAAUUAUUAUAUUCAUCUUUAUUAUUUAAAUAAAUAUCCUAUUUAAUGUAAUGUUUGAACUCAUUAAAGUAAGUUACACGCGCAAUGUGCAUACAACUAAACGAGUAACCUAAAAGAUAGCAUGGGUAAUGGACAAUAUUGAUUAUUAUAAAACUUAUCAAAGCUAAGAUUUUAUCUAAAAAUAUGUUGAACAAAAAUUAUCAUCUCAAUAUUAUGGUGAAUUUCGUUUAAGUAUAUUUUAAAUCCAAAUGAAGAUAAUUUACUAUCUCAUUAUUCUUCUGUCAUUAUCAAAAGUCAUAAUAAAAAUUAGGGGUGUACAUAGAUUGGGUUGGUUUGUUUUUAAUUAGAAAAAAAAAAACAAAUCAAUCAUGUCGGUUUAUUAAACUAUUAAUCAAAUCAAACCAAAAUAAAAUUGAUUUUUUCGGUUUAGGUUUUAGUCGGUUCUUUCGAUUUUUUUAUUUUCCUUGAUUUUCUUAUAAUCUUUAAUUUUUACAAUUAUAUUGUGAUUGAAGACUAGAUCAAAUAUGUUUUCACUCAUGUUCUAAUGAAAAAUCACAAUUAUGAAAAAAUGAGGAGCAAAAAAUUCUCUUGAAACUAAAAAGUACGAUGAAGAGUGAAAAGUUUAGGUUUUAAGUUUAUCUUGGAUUUUGGAUCAUUUAAUUAGCAAUUAAUGGACAAAUAUUACAACUUAAAGGCUCAAAUAUGAAUAUAUAUCUACAUCUACUUUUAAAAUAUUGAAAAUUAAUUGAAAAAAUAGAUUAUAACUAAUAUUUUAUGUAUAAAAAAGUUAAUAUAUAUAUAUAUAUAUAUUUUAUGUCAGUCUGAUUCGGGUUCGGUUUGACUUUUUUUUUUGUUAACACCAAACAAAGAAUGGUCGAUUUUUUUUCUAACGGCAAUCCAACCAAACCAAACUAUAAGUCAAUUCUUUUUCUCGAUUUGAUUUGGUUCGUCGAUUCGGUUUGACUUGACUGUUUGGUCUGUACACCCAUAAUGAAAAUUCUCUCAUAUGAUGAGACUAUUUUUAAAUAAAUAUCAUUUUACAAAAAGACCACCUUAUGAUCUUCAUUACUAUUUCUGAUUAAAUCAAUUUUUUUUUUGGCAAUUAGUUGAUUUUUAUUAAUCAUCAAGUAAAACAGAUACAACUCCAAUGAGUGCCUUAGCCAUCCAGCUCAUUCUUUUUUUUCUACUUCUACAAAUCAAAGUUAUUAAAGAUGAUUGCGAACAACUACCAAAUAAGUCAAAAAAAUAGAAAUAAAGAAGUUUUAAGAAACAUUUAAUUAUAAUAUUUUUUUGUUAAGUAAUUAUAGCGUAUUAUUAAACUAUAUUUAAAUUAAUUUCAAAUUAUUUAUAACACGAACUAUAUAAUUAUGACAUUUGAGUUUCAUUAAAAAGAUAUACAAUAAUUACUGUAUAUAACUUUUUGAUUUGAUUAUUUAAAAAAAUUAUCGUUGGAUAGUUGCAAUGAGAUAAGGCAACAUUUAUGAUAUUGUUAAAAUGUAUAAUUUAACAGGCUUAAAUAAAUCAAUUAAUACUUUGAUAUACUCCAAUAAUUUAUAUGUGUUAAUAAUUUUCGCGCAACGCGCGGGUAUUAUACUAGUUAAAAAUAGAGAAGUAAUUAUUACUCCACCACAAUCUUUUUUUUUUUUUUUGGUUAGAAAGGAUUAAUAUAAAUAACAGAGUAAUAGUUACAGGAUAGCCGGUUAGUCCGACUCAAAAAUAGCAAGGUCCGCACUAAUGUUUGUGCUACUGGCUUUCACAGAUCUAUUAAAACAAGUUUCUAAAAUGUCUGUCCAGACAUGUUCUAGUGUAAACACAGGAGGAACUUCAAAAAUGCAUGUAGGUCCAAAAAUCCGCUUGUGUGCUCCUUCCCUUGCCAGCGAGUCUGCUACUUGAUUUUAUUCUCUAAAACAGUGUUGUACUGCUGGUCAUCCCACUCUUGUCAGCAUGAAUCUGCAAAGUUCAAGAAUAGGGUCAAAAUGCAUGUUUCCAUGUUUUAGCAUAUGUAUAACCUGUUGUGAGUCAAUAUUGAUCUCAAUGGGGUGGAGGUUGUUAUCCUCCACAAUUUUCAGGCCUUCCAGGAGAGCUAGGAGCUCCAUUUGAUUGUUAGUAACCUUAGGAUAGCCUUUGUAGUAACCCAGGAUCCAUUCACCAUUGUGGUUUCUAAUUACACCCCAUAUGCCCCCAACCCCUGAAUUUCCCAAGCUGGAACCAUCAGUAUUGAGUUUAUAGGAAUUGCGAGGUGAACAGAAAUGGUUAGAAUGGCUUAGGAUUGAGUAGAAGGAUGGUUGGUUAGGUGAGUGUAUUCAACAGCUGAAGCAUGAGACUUCUAAAAAAAAAAAGGAUGGAGUUGGAGCCAUUAAAAAUAUUCUCAUUUCUGCAAUUUCAGAUUUCCCACAAGCAAAAGAUAAAGAGCAUGUCAAGGUUGAUAACCACAAUCCUUAUUCAUACUCCAUUUCUCGUUUCGUUUCUAAAUAAGAAACAUAUAUAUGAAAAAAAUAAUUGACUCAAAAAAUAUCAUUUUAGCAAAGACAAAAAAACAAUUGACUUUCAUAUAUAUUUUUAUAUUAAGAAACUACUUUUUAAUAUUGUUAGAUUCUUAUGAGGUAUCUAACUAAUUAAAUAAAUGCAACUUAGUAAAAUAUGUUUUGUUUUGGGAGUUGUUUAGUAGGUUGUAUUAGAUUCUAUAAUGCAUGCAUAUAUAUUAAUCUAUUUAUUGUUAUAUGCUAAUCCCUUCGGUUCAUUUUAUUCAAUUUAGAGAAAAUGCAUAAUAAAUUUUUUAAAUUUGUCCAUAAAAUUUACUUUGAAAUUCUAACUUUUUAAGUAAUUAUUUACCCUCUUAAAUUAGUUUCAAUUGAAUUUAUACCUAAUUAAAAGUAAAAAAAAUCACAUUUAUAAUAAGAGGUGUUCUCCACACACUUUCACGUGUCAAAUCUUAUUUUUUUUAAUUUAUUUUUUCACUUUUUAAUCUUUUUGUUUUCACCAUCCUUGAAACAUAGCGGUCAUGACAGCGUCUUUUUUUUUUUUUUUUUUUUUUUUUUUUAUAACUUUGUUGAAAUACAACAAACUUGAAACCUCAAUAACCCACAUUAGGAUCAUAUUACCCCCAAUGAGUUUGCUUCAAAAUUUCAGCGUUAAAGAAUGAGACACUGAGAUUUUUCACAAAAGGUGCCUAUUUACCAUUUCUAGUAAUGUUGUCAUUGAUGAUCAAAAAAUCACACUCUUUUACUAAUUUUAUGUCUUUUUAACUUGCUAUCAAAGAUCUAUUUUUUUGAUCAUUUAUCCAUAUCAUUCUUAUUUUAGAUGAAGAAAGUCUCCAUCUUUUUUUUUUUUUUUUUUUUGAAAUUAUGGGUUAAAAAUAUAAAAUAGAAAUUAAAGUAAAAGAUUAAGGAAUUCACCGAGACAAAUAUUCGAUAUUUAUCUAUGUACUUUUUGGGGAAAUAGAAAGAAAGAAAAAGAGAGAAUGAGAAAAAGGAAAAAAAAAUGAAAGCGAAGAAGGUCUAUUGAGAAUUAACUGUAAUUAAUUAACAUUCCAAUUAAAAGGUGUCUUGUAUGUAAUUGAACUAUUUAUUUUUUAUAUUUUAUAUUUGCCACGCGUAUAUAGGAGAGUAAUCUCACUUGCGUUGCCACACAUCUUCAAAGGGGUAUUAAAUUUACUUAAAAUAAUUUAAGAGGGUAAAAAAUUAUCCGUAAAGUUAGAGUGCUAAAAUAAUUUAUGUGGACAAAUUUAGGAGAGAUUUUAUGUAUUUUUUCUUCAAUUUACUUGUCCAAUUUAUGACAUUAAGAGAAUUUUAUUUUAUUUAUUCUUUUUAUCUUAGUAUUAGAUAAUUAAAUAAAAAUAAUAAUAGUUAAAUUUAAAAUUUCAUAGAAUCAAUAAUAAUGUUAAUUCAGUAAGAAAAUACUUUUGAAGUUUUCUUAAGAACAUAUUAAGUCAACAAGGAUCAAACAAAAUAAAACAGAUGAAGACUGAAGUAUAUAACUAAAUACAUAGUAAAUCGUAGUAUUAUCAAUACAUGAAAUAUUAAUAGUUAGAUAAACAUGAAAAAAGAGAAAAAAUUUCUUAAUAUACCAAAUGAAACAAUUGAUAGAAAAUAGUCUCGAUAUAAUCAACCCUGAUGUAACAAAUCGCAACAUUACGCAUGACUAAUACAAUUUGUUCAUUGUUAUCCUUAUUCAAUCUAUCAAUAACGUUUAAUUAUUUUUUAACAUACAUGAAUUAAGUUAAAACAAUAUUUAUUUUUUGAUGCAAAAAAACUUGAGUCUCAAUUACACUAGCCCUUGUAUUGACAAUCAAGUUAUAUUUUUUAAUAAGAUUUUUAAAUAAUUUCAAAGGGCUCCAAAUAAUAGGGUUUGUGGAUCCAUAAAAUAUUUCACAUCAUAGACCUUUACUGCCAUUUAUAAAGGUUGAUCUAAGGUGAGAAAUUAUCACAAAUGUAAAAAUAUAAUACUUCUUGGUUAAUAUAAAUAAUAGGAUUUCUUAAUUCAAUAAUUGUUCGUCAUAUACUGUUGCAUAGGGGUGUAAAGAGAUCAUGGUGGUUCGAUUUUUCAUUAAAAAUUUAUUAAAUCAAUUAUGCCGGUUUAUAAAUUCUAUAAUUAAAUCAAAUUAAUAUACAAUCAACUUUUUCGAUUUCGAUUAAAGUAGUUUUUUUUUUUUUUCUUAUUUGUUCGAUUUCUUCAUUUUUUUUUUUAUAAUUACUCUAUUAUAUAAGCCAACAAGAGUUUGGACCAUCACAACAAUAAUUUGUUGUACAAAGAACAAUCUAAAGUGUACCGUGAAUUUGUAUAUUUAAGAGAUUUUAGUUCGCAAUUACUAUGUGUCUCUUAUCUUAAAGCGAAUAGCCAUAUAUAAAUUUGAUUUUAGUUCGCAGAUUUUAGACACACUUCUUUUCCUUUCUUCUUCGCUUUAUUUUUAUUUUUAUUUUUUUUGUUUUUCUCUUGAGUUGUGUUCAUAUUUUCUAUAAGCUUUCAAAGAUUCAAUCGGCUGGUAUGCCUGUUGCUACUCAUCUGAAGUGGUCCGAUAGUUCUACGUCACUUAAAUCGACGGAUAAUCAAGUUCAAGGCCAGCCUUUGCUAUCCCAUCACUUUAGCUUCAAUUUUAACUUUGAAUGUCCUUUGACUUUGUCAAAAUUUCAAUAUUUAACUUUGCAUGUCCUUUGACUUUGUCAAAAUUUCAAUAUUUUUUUUUGCUUAUGUUUUUUUCUUCAUUGGGUUUUUUUGAACUUUUUGCCAUGUGAAGGUAAGAAUUUAGAAAAUAUGUAAUUUUGGGUCAAAAUUUAAUACCGUAGUGAACUCUAAGAAGGAAGGGUUUACCACAAAAUAAUUUAAAUAAUCUGUGCAGGCAAUACUGAUCAUGAUAUUAGGAAUACAAAACUUGAAGCAUUUAAAUUUGCAGCUAUGCUCGCCUUGCACUUGUAAAUAUGAAUUGCAUAAUUCUCAAUUAAAAUUAUGUGAUGCUUAGCGUUUAAUAACAGAAUAUAAUUAGUCAGUAUGUUAUAUUUGUUUUCUUAAGAAGAGAACAUGAAAAAUGAUAUAAAAAGGAGUGCUUUCAGUUGCAAUUAUCCUUGUGUAUACCAAUUUCUUUAGUACAAGCUCGUUUGAAAUUUUUCGUUUACUAAAGUUAAUUUGAACAAUUUUGAAAUAAAUUUGGAUAGACAAUUUACAUUCUUAGUGUUAAAUAUUGGAUAUUUUUGAAAAUUUAAAGAUUGUAUUAAAUAUUAAAUAUAAAUGAUAGUUGUAAUACAAUUUGAAUUCAAUAUUAUUCAUCGUCAUGAAUGCGAUAGUUAUUAUUCUGGAACAUAUGUAAUACAUUUCUACCAACAUAAACUUAUUUAAAUAGUAUUGAAAUAUUUGAAACUCACGUAUAGUACUUAUAAUACAUUUGCACUUAAAAUAUUGUAGUUAUAUAUUCACCAUGUGCAUUGAAACAUACCUACAACAUGUAAAAUAUAUUAGGGAAAGGACAUGGGCUGGCCAUUUUGAAAAUAAAUGGCCAGCAAUUUUAAAAGUUGGACAUGGAGAGCCUGUCGACCCAAUUUAAUUUCGGUAAAUAGCCAUUUGCCUCAAAACUGAUACUCUUACAUAAUAAAGAGUAUUAAAUACUCUUUCAACGGCUACUCUUACGUAACUUUCCCGAAUCAUCUUCUCUUUCCCUCUGUUAUGCUUGAUAAAUUUAUUUUUUGCAUCAACAUCAGAAAUUGAGUUGUUGUUUCUUGCAUUGUCUGGACAUGAAACAAAAGAUGAGAAGUAAAGAAAAGUUAAAAUUAGCUAGUAAAGGGGUCAAUUUUGAUCCCAAAUUAUUAUUAAUGACGAUGAUUUUACAGAAUAAUCACAUAUGUCGUUGCACUUGAAGGAAUGUCCUAGUCCUUCAAACUCGAAUAAGAAAAAAUGUGAUAGAAUGGGGUCUCAAGAUAAGAGAAAAUCUAAGUCGGAAAGUCUAUGUUCUUCUCAGAGGAUGACUCGAUCACUGAGUCAGAGACUUUUUGGUGCAUGUAAAGAUCAAGAAAAGUAUCUUUCAAAAGGGAAGGAGAAGGUCGAUGAAUGUGUAGUUGUUAUUGCGAAGAAAAAAAGAAGCGAUUUCGGGAAAAAAAUGAUGAAGAUGAUGGUGUAUCGUCAAAGAAAAAACAUAAAGUUUCUGAUCAGCUCGGCAAACCAAGUUAUAGUUUAUUAGAUAUUGAGGUAUUCUAUAUUUUUUUACAACUGUAAUGUAUUUUUUUUGUAUAUGUGUGCAAUAUGAGACCUUACUUUGUAUGUUGUUGUUAUUGUAGUUGUUUUGUGCAGUGUAAUGUAUAGUGCUAACCUAUUUAGAAAUAUAUAUUUUUGUUUCAGGCUUGGGAUUUUGUUGUUUGACCAACUGAUUAUUACAUGACUCAUGUUAGUGUGCAUACAAAUUGCUCAAUUGUGAAUGAGCUAAAAGAUAAGUUCACUAAGGUGCAACUCGAUUUGUUUAGAAACACCUGUUUUGGAUUUUUUUUUAUUUGUCCUCUGUUUCCAUUCAAAAUUAGUUGAUACAUGCCACGUUGCUUAGGAAAGUUUUGUCUACUCAAAAUGAUGAGAUAUGGAUUAAAGUGAAUGACACAAAGUUGAGAUUUGGUCUAUGAGAGUUUGUUGUUAUAAGUGGCUUAAAGUGUACAGGUGAUGUUACAGUGGUAUGUAAUUUGAGUCAGUCUAGUCGCCUUAUGGACUCGUAUUUUUCAAAUCAAUCCAAAGUUACAAAGCUUGAGCUGAAAAAAAAAUUCUUGGAAAAAAAUAGCAAUUUGACGGGGACGCGUUACAUAUUGUCAUUCUUUUCUUCAUUCAUAGUUUUCUAUUUUCAAUUACGUAUGGUGACUUCAUAAAUAAGGAUAUUUUUUUGUUGGUUGAGUCUGGUUAGUUUGAGAAAUUUUUCUGGAGAAAGUUAUGUUUUCGUGCUAUGUUGGAUUUGAUACAAGAUCGACAAGGAAGACACUAAUACACACCAAAAUAGUCCAUGAUUUGAAGAACUGAGGACCCCUUUUGGUGACCCCUCUCGGAUUCACUACACAAUAACAAUACAAGCACGAUAACAACAAGAUUCUAAGGUGUUCAACACCUAUAAUCAGCGAGCCAAAAAUUAAGAUUACAACACAAUAACAAGAAUAAAAAUGACACAACAAGGUCUCAGGUUUGGAUACCCAAAACCGAGAAUGAACACAACAACAAUAAUAAGAUAGAAUGAUAGAUAACUUGACACACAAUACACAAACACUAUGAACUAAAGUGUAUAUUGAACACUAAAACCCAAGAAUUCAUACAAAUAACAUCAAGUUCUUAUGGUGACCUCAAGGGAACGGAAUCCCCAAGCAACCAACGUUUUAAACAAGUAACCAACACAAGUGAUUCCACACCUGUCACAAGUGAUAUCCACACUUGUAUGAGCACUCUCAAAGUGCUCUCAAAAUAUCAUCUAAGUUAUGAUAAAAUGACCUAACAUGUUCUAUUUAUAGCCUAGGUUUCAAACUAAUACAAAAUGACUAGAAUGCCCUUAAUGAGCCAAGACAAAGGGGAGGCCUUGGAGUGUGCAUAUUGGAUGGCUUUGGAGUGUUGAAACUUGUUCUCUACACUUCGAAGCUUGUUCCAUUGGUUGGGCAGCCACCCGAGCUUGAGUUUUUACAUGUUGGUCCACAAUCACGAUCAUACUUGUAUCAUCCCCCUUUUUUGAAAAAGAAUUCGACCUCGAAUUCGAACUUUGCAAAAUAAUAGGAAGCACAAACAAACACAAGUUCCUCAAGGCAUGAGGGUUAGGAUUAGUGUAAUCAAUCAUAACAUCUUGCCAAGGUGGCUCAAACUUCACAUACACCCUGUAGACACAUAAUUUUGUCCCUCCCCAAAAGCAUUCUUACCAUUUUACCCUCGUCUUAGUGUGUGCCCUCACCCGUGUGAUAACCCCUUCAUAAAAAGACAAAAAUAAUAAUUCCUAACUAAUUUUAUCUUAUUCUAACAACCCCUCCCUAUUAAAAAAUGACACAUCACCCUCACCACUCUCUCUCCACGUGACCUCCCUUUUUUAUUUCUUAUUCACAAAGCAAAUAAAAGGACCCAGAAGCAUAUUCCCAGAAGCAUAUUCCCUGGAGGGGAGACUCACUGUCACUCUCAAGACAAAAGAACCGACUGUAAUUCUCACAAGAAGGGAGAUACAAUAUUAUACAGAUAGGGGUCUUCGAUUUUUUUUCUUUUUCGACCGAACAAGAUACAUAUACACAGACCAAAAACUUCAUCAUCGAGGAUUUUUCUUUUCUAUUUUUGGAUACCCAUCACCAUUUCAUUGGUUGAAAUAGCAAAACACAAAGAUUGAAGGGAGAUUGAGAGAGAAGAGAAAAAAAGUAAGAGAAAGAGAGAGAGAAGCAGCAAGAGAAAGCGAGAGAAAGCAGAGAACCGCGAGAGAGGGAUAGAUAUGAGAGAGAUCAAACGAGAGAUGAUUCAGGGCAUAGGAGAGUAGCGCCUCCACUGUUAAGCUCACCGGAUCUCCAGCGAUGCUACAACAGUGACCAGAGCAUGCUGGGAAGCCACUAAAUCCGACCUCCAGUGUCGAUUCCGGCGACCAUCCACCAGAAAGCGACCAAAAAUAGUAACGGAGUGUGCUAAUUAGGUACGAUUGGUAGGGAUUUGUGAUCUUUGCUUUGGGUUGCGGGUUUUGCUUUCGUGAAUUCGUGUUCGGGUCAAAUUUUAGGAUUCUUACGGUUGAUUUAGUACGGAGUUGGUGAGUCCUUUGUUGAGGUUCGAUUCGAGGUUCUUCAGCAUGAUUUCUAUCCUUUCGUUGAAGCAUUAUUGAAUUUCAAAACCUUCGAAUCGAGGUCUAAUUCUCUUUCUUCUCUUCUUUAUUUCGUUAUUUGUCGUGUUCUAUGCUUUGAAUUGAAUUCGGUGUGCUGGGUGAUCCGUCGUGAUGUGAAUUAUUGUUUGUUUUGAUUUGGUUUUUGAUUUUCUUGAUUAUGGAUUAAUUAUAAGGUGUGUGAUGAAAUAAUAUCUCAUGGAGGAUUAAAAUUGAUUAUUUGGGGAAUGAGAAUCGAAAAUUGAUAAAAGUGAAUAUUAUAGUAUUUUGAUUCAUUGUUGAUGUUGAACGUGAUAUGUCAUCGAGCGGGUAGGCAAGCACUAGGCUCGGGUAGGCAAAAUUUAGAAUUGGUGGAUUGUUGGAAUGUUUGAAAUAUGUGUUGGAAUUGUUUUGUUUUAUCGCAUUUAAUUCAAUUAUACUCAUUUGGCUGGGGAAUGCCCCGAGGUACGUGUAUCUAUUCACCGGGGAAUGCCCCGACAUAUCAUGUACGCAAAAGAGGUUCGUGAUGAAGGCCCGAGGCAUAGGGUAAAGCACUGAGCGUAUUAGGAUUAGUGUAGGUUAGAUAGGGUUUAUUCUCGUAUUUUUUUUCUAUUUUGGACUGUAUAACUCGAACUGGACAUUAUAUUUUUUACUCAUUUUGUUUUGUUUGUUGUUUGAUUAUUUUACGUGUUUUAUGUGGUUUAUACAUUCGUAGUAUCAAAUUAGCUGAUAUGUUCCACCAAGCGACCGUGGUAAAACCACGGGACUGAGGGGUGCCUAACACCUUCCCCUCGAUCAAAAGAAUCCUUAAUCGGAAUCUCUAUUCAUAGAUCAGUUUAAAAGAGUUAAAAUUAUUUUCGAAAAAGGAUUUUCAACGGUGACUUGGCACACCAGAUUAUGCCAAGUGGCGACUCUGAGUUUAAAUAUAAAUAAUCCUUUUCGAAACAAAAUUUUUAUUUUUUUUCACUUUAAUAAAAGCCCUUUCGAAACUUAAAACGAAUCUUUUUGGAUGUUGAAAAAGGGGUGUGACAACUCUGGCGAAUCUGCUGGGGACCUAUUCAGAAUUCGAGCUAAUUUUGGAGUCGUAUCGGCUUUGUUUGGCACUAUAGGUGUAUAAACAUUUUUUUGUAUUGUUCUGUGUUAUUGUUUUAUCAUGAUGGAAUGUUUUCGUGCUCUUUGUGUACAGUAUUUAUUCUAUGUGUUACCGCUUUUAUAUCUGGCAUCAUGUGUCUACCCCCGGCCUUCUUUCUGUAACAAGUCCAUAGUACACGCGUUGUACACGACCUCUAGUUGAGUCACCCUUAUUUUAGAGGGGGGAGCCAUCGGUGUUAUGGAGUAGGUGGAUCGCAGCCACUAUCGACCAUACGUUCCCCCGAAUAGCCUUAUUAGUGAACCCCAACGUAGGUCAACCUUUAGGUCAUGCUUAUGUGCAUCAUAUUGAGACCUAGCGGGGCCCACUUACCUCUAAAGCAUCCCUACGUGCUAAAUGUUGCAUCUUUGAGGAUAACGUGGUCAUUUGACGGACUGAUUUGGAAAAAACAUGUGUUAGAAGUAAAGUGUGUGGGUAAUGAAAAAAAAACAAGAAAAAAAAAGAGGUUCGUAGUUUUUAUAGUUUUUUAUGGCUUAUAUUUUUCACAAUUCCAAAAUUCAAAAGGACCGUUUUACCUUUCGCACUUAUUUUCUCAAAAACAUCAAAAAGAUUUUCCUUUGUCUCGUUUAGCAUGCAUUCACAAUUCGAAAACUUCAAAAAGAUUUUUUCAUUCAUAGGAUUGUUUAUAAAAGAAAAAUGCAAAAAAAAAAAUGUUAGAAAUUUUUUACAUUUCGUAUAACGAAAAUACCAAAAAGAUUUUUCUUUCAUAGUUGUUGAUGUCAUUUUUCUGUGAAGUAUCAAAAUGAAAACUCAAAAGAUUUUAUUAACGUGGUUCAUCAUCUGUCUUUGGUCUUAUCUCUUAAGUCAGGGUCUAGCAUGUUAUUUAAUCAGUAAUUGUCCAAUCUGAACGAACUACGCACCCCUGAUUCUUCUCUCUCGGGAGUGAGAUAUGUUGGCAACCUAUUUUUGGUUCGGGGAUCUUAUUGAAAAAUCCAAAAAUAUUUCUUCACUCUCCAUUUAGAGUAGGCGUUUCAUAUACAUCUUUAAAAUAAAACUACAAAAAGAUUUUCCUUUAAUAGGUUCAAGUUUCAUUUUCACAUGAAAUUCAAAAAUCGAAAAUCCAAAAAGAUUUUUCUUUGGUAAUCACGGGUUUCAUUUUGUAUAGAGAUUUAAAACUUUAAAAAAAGAUUUUCGUCAAUUCUUUUGACACUUUGUUUCAAGAAAGAAAAAAGAGUUUAAUUGGUCAUUUUGGCAAAACUUCACGAACUACGCACACCUGAUUCUCCCCUUUCAGGGGUGAGAUACGUAGGCGCCCUUCUAGGGUUCGGUGAUUUUUUCUAGAAAAAAAAGAAGAGGUUUUGAAAACUAGUUGAACUCUAACGCAUUUGCUAUCUCUUGUCCAGUUAGUUUAAGGUGGUUGGUUUGUGGCAUUUUGGCUGGUCCUCCAUAUUGCUCCAAGUCACUGAGAAAUUUAUGGCCAACAAGGAUACCGAGUUUGUUGUCACUAAUCAGAUAGUGAUUUGGGGAAUGAGAAUGUAGGAGCUAAUGAAGAGAUUUGGAAAUUGAGGUAGAAAAUGAUAGAAAUGCAUCGAGCUUGGGCUAAUGGGUUGCCGCCUCCUCCAUUUCCCGCAGAUAAUCUAGAAUAUCUUUCUAGUUUGCGUCCAGUUUCACAUGCACAAUUUCCUAUUUUGGUCGACACGCCACAACAUGCAUCAAGACCUACUUCGGGGCAACAAUAUCCAAACACUUCCAAUAUUCAUUUCCUCACUCCUCAAUAUAAAAUUACCACAUGCCCAGCUCCGCCUGCUAUUCAUGCUUUUGCAGCCCCACUCCCAUCUGAAGCUCCUACUUUUAAUGUCAGUCCAACGGUUGUGAUUCCUCACUCUACAAGCGACCCUGUAUUGAAUAUUUUUAGUGAUCAGCAUUACACUCCCUAUCUCACAUUUAAGUCGACUGGUCCUUACGACUGCCCUCGACUGCCUGAAUUUUCUUCAAAUACUGAGAAGCCUGUUAUGACAGAAGAUCAAGAGAAAAUGGCCUGAAAAUUGAGAAGUUUGGAAUUGACUAUGAAAAACUUGUAAGGACUUGGGGGGUACCAAAGUGUCUCAUAUAAAGAUCUGUGCAUGUUUUCAGGUGUACAUCUUCCUUUUGAUUUUAAAAUGCUGAAGUUUGAGAAGUAUGAUGGACAUGGCGAUCCUGUAGCACAUUUGAGAUUUUAUUGCAACCAGCUAAGGGGCGUUGGAGGGAAGGAAUAAAUACUCAUGGCUUAUUUCAGGGAGAGUCUUUCGGGCCUAGCUUCAGAAUGGUUUGUUGAUCAAGACAUUGACAAGUGGAUUAGUUGGGAUGACCUAGAUAAUGGAUUUGUGCAACAAUUUCAAUACAAUGUGGAGUUGAUACCUGACAAAAUAUCCCUAACUAGUAUAAAAAAGAAGAAUACUGAGAGUUUCAGGGUGUAUGCGAUCAGAUGGCGCAAAUAAGCUGCUAGAGUAAAAUCGCCAAUGGAAGAAAGCAAGAUAGUGGAGGUGUUUAUUCAAGCACAAGAUGAAACAUAUUAUCAACAUUUGUUACCUGCAUCAGGCAAGCCAUUUAUUGAGGCAAAAUGGGGGAGAUGAUAGAGGAUGGAAUUAAGACUGGUCGCAUUGUGAGUUUUGCAAGAUUGAAAGUGACUACUCAAGCAAUUCAAAAAGGUUCGGAUAGUGUUGGAGGAAAGAAAAAUGGGGAAGAUACAUCUGCCACUAUAGUUGGACAAUAGGCACGGGCAAGAGAACCAUACCAUCGUUACCCACGGGCUCAAACCCAAGUUUAUGGCCAAGUUCCACAGAAUCCUUCCCAAAAUCCAUUAUAUUCCAUUCCCCCAUCUCCAUAUCAAGUGUAUAAUGUGCAACCAUAUGUUCAACCCCCAUCUUACCUACACUUGCGCGCGCCAACUCUGCCGAGUUAUCCUUCAACUCCACAUACAUAGCGAAGCCCUUCUAGGCCUGGUUUUCAAUUUAAUCCAAAUAAUGAAAUGAGACAGAAGUCGAGGGAUAGCUUCACACCCAUUGGAGAGUCGUAUACAAGUUUAUUCCAGAGAUUGGUACAGCAGGGCAUGAUCACUUUUCUCCUUGGGUAUACUCCUGACCCACAUUCAAGAAGUUUUAAUCCUAAUGUACGAUGUACAUAUCAUUCCGAUGUUCAUGGUCACAGUAUUGAAGAUUGUCGUGCUUUGAAAAGAGAAAUUGAAAAGAUGAUUCAAGAUAAAUAAAUCAUGGUGCAGAACAUUGACAGUGAGGAAAGCUCUAGUCAUGCUGAUAUGCAAACCAGUGGCUAAGAUGUCAGGUCGAGCAAUUGAGAAGUCACCCCUCUCCUUACUAGGAAGGGGUUUGGUAGCUUGUUUUAUUUUAUUUUUUGUUCUCCAAAUGAUUUCAGGGUUGUAGUUCGGGAUCUGUCUUAUUUUGUCCUUUUGUUAUUUAUGUUCAAACCCUUCUAUUUUUUGUUUCGACUAAAUGAAGUGUCUCAUUUUCCUUUGUGUUUUAAAUAUGUGUUGUUUGUUUGUUUUCUUUACAUAGUACAUUUUGUGUUGACUCUAGUGAUAUGACAUGCUGGUGAAACUUUCAGCCAGAUAAAUCCAGUCUAAGUAUGAACAUUGAAUUAGAGGGUUAAAGUUAGAAAAAGAGAGCAUAUGAGAAAAUAGAUAGAGUGCUGAGACAUUUGGUGAUAAGUUAAGGCAAUUAUUUUGAGAAUCACAAGAACAAAUUGGUCAUCGAUUUAAAGGCAAGUCCCAAUUAGGUCAAAUAGUGGACGUGUGAUCCCUGUAUCAAGAGAAAUAAGAAGAUAAGCAGCUCCACGAAAGCAUAAGUCAUUUGAUGUGAGGAAUGUACAACAAAGGCGGAGUUUGCAGAAGAAGUAGUGAUGCACAGUCUCAAUCUGCUUAAAAAGAUGUCGCAAAUGAUCUUCAUCUCUCACUUUCAUAUUACAUGAUAUGUACUUGCAUUUUCAAGGAUUGAUAUGACGAAGACAUUUCAUUCUGCUAUCCAAACAUCGUGUCAUCCUUUGUUUACCCCAUUUGAGCUUCAAUUAUAUUUUAUUUCAUACCCCUCUUUUGGAAUCAAUAUAGUCAGCAAAGCUCAAAAGAAAAGUGUCGAGCAAAAUAAUAGAUUCAGAAAAUGUUCAAAAAAAAAAGAGAAGAAAAAAAAUAUGUCCAAAAAGAAAAAAAAAGUGUCAAGACAAAUAGAGUCAGAAAAAUCCAAAGAGAAAAGAGUCAACAAAAGAAAAAAUUAGAAUCAAGUGAAAGAACAAGCUGCCAGAACUACGCAUGACCUGAUUCUCCUCUCUCGGGGGGGAGAUACGUAGGCUGUCCUACUAAGGGCUCGGUCCAACCAAAUAAAAAAUUUAGAAUUACCCAGUCAAAAGAAACUGGGGCAUGAGUUAAUCCUUAUUGUUUAAGUCAAUUCCAAAAGUUGUAAGUCCUAACCCACUUCAAGUGUCGUUUGGGCUUCAUGCCAUCCUUUCGUUCUAACCCUAUCCAAAAGUAAAGUUACAACCAAAGAAAGACCUUCAGAUCAAUCUUUGAGGAUGUUAAGGCAAAGCAUGUAAGGGAUAUGAUGAUGUAUUUGGGAACUACUUAUCUUCCUCAGCAUAAGAAAUCAGAAGAGAAAUAAAAAAUGAGAGAGUCUUAUUGGUGAAAACCCUCACGGGCACUAUAAGAUGAUGGUAAGUUGAGAGAAAUAAAAAUGGGAGAGUCUUAUUGAUGAAAACCCUCACGGGCAUCAUAAGGUGAUAGUAAGCUGAGAGAAAAAUGAGCGAGGCUUGUUGGAAAAAACCCUUCAAGGUGCCACUAGCCGAAUGAGGUCUUAAAUGCAAUUGACCUAAGGAAACAACUCAGUUUCAAGGCCAUUAACUCAACAACAAUUGGUAGAAAGUUUGGAUGGAAAGAUCAGACAGCCUGACCCAAAAUGCAUGACAUAAUCUUUAGAGUUGACUGUCAUUUUUAGAUAAAUUUUUAUUUUUUUGUUUCAAAUGGGGAUAUUCAUUAUAUUUUCUUUCGUCUCUUUAUUUUUGUUUAUCUUUCUUGAGUCAGUUAUCCAAAUAAAAAUCAUUGUCAUUUUUCUCUUGUUAUUGAGUCAAGUCUAUGUCGAAAUAAGUGAGAAAAGAUUUCAAAACUGGCUACUAGCUUCUUCAAUCGCACAAAGCAAGACAAAAGGCUAGCACAUGAAAGAGACAUGAUUGUGAGCCAAAACAAGGCAUGCAGAAAGUUGUGUCAACAAAAAAUUUUGCGAAUUCAUGAAAAUACCAAGGUUCAAAGAGUUUAUCUGAGAAGCAUGGCAAAGCAAAGAUACUGUGUUUGUUUCAGAAGAACUCUUAAUAAUCGGAGUUUGGGUCAAUGAUGCAGCAAGUCAAUGACAUAUGCUAAUGGUUAGAAGCGAGGUUAAGUGUGACCGGGGCAAGAGUGAUUCUACAAAAGCCAAAGCCACAAACCAACCACCAUGUUUUUAAACUAACAAGUUUUCUUUGUAUGAAAUAGGAACACAUACUACCUUCGAAUCAAGGAUUUCAAAGCCUAAACAUCAAGGGACGUAAUAUUCUCACUUCUACAAAUGCAAGAGGCAAUGUUGCUGCACAUAUUUGGUAUUCAAGCCUAUGGUAAUUCAAGCGACAUUUGUAAGGAGACACACUUUCUUGUUUUGGUAAUUCUAGCAACAUUUGUAAAGAGACACACUUCCUUAUUUAGGUAAUUCCAGUAAUAUUUGUAAGGAAACGCACUUCCUUAUUUGGUAAAUCCAGCAACAUUAGUGAGGAAACACACUUUCUUAUUUGGUAAUUCAAGCGGUAUUUGUAAGGAGAUGUACUUCCUUGUGUGGGAAAUUCAAGCAACAUUUGUAAGGAGAUGCACUUCCUUGUUUGAUAAUUCAAGCAACAUUUGUAAGGAGACGCACUUACUUGUUUGGUAAUUCGAUUGGCAUUUGUAAGGAGACGCAUUUCCUUGUUCGAGUAAUUCCAGCAACAUUUGUAAGAAGACACACUUCCUUGUUUGGGUAAUUCCAGCAACAUUUGUAAGGGGACGCACUUCCUUGUUUGGACAAUUCAAGCAACAUUUGUAAGGAGACACACUUCCUUAUUUUGGUAAUUCAAGCGCUAUCAUAAGGAGACGCACUUCCAAAGGAGACACGCUUUCUUUUUUUGGUAAUUCAAGCAACAUUGGAGAUGCACUUCCUUGCUUGGGCAAUUCAAGCAACAUUUGUAAGGAGAUGCACUUCCUUGUUUGGAAAAAAACUUAUUUGGGUAAUUCCAACAACAUUUGUAAUGGGACGCACUUCCUUGUUUGGACAAUUCAAGCAAUAUUUGUAAGGAGACACACUUUCUUAUUUUGGUAAUUCAAGCACUAUCAUAAGGAGACGCACUUCCAAAUGAGAUGCACUUUCUUGUUUUGGUAAUUCAAGCAACAUUGGAGACGCACUUCCUUGCUUGGGCAAUUCGAGCAACAUUUGUAAGGAGAUGCACUUCCUUGUUUGGUUAAUUCAAGAAACAUUUGUGAGGAGACGCACUUCUUUGUUUGAGUAAUUCAAGCAACAUUGGUAAGGAGACGCACUUCCUUGGUUUGGUAAUUCAAGCGGCAUUGGUAAGGAAAUGCACUUCCUUGUUUUGAUAAUUCAAGCAACAUUGGUAAGGAGAUACAUUUCUUUGAUUGGGUAAUUCAAAAUUUGCUUUUGGGUAAUGCACUUCCUAUCAGUCCCCUUGAUUUCUAGAAAAUGCACUUUCUAGUCUAGUUAUUGCACUUAAUCCUUUGGAGACGCACUUUCUUGCUAGUUUUCUUUUGUUAGGUGACACACUUUUUAACUUAAACUUGUAUCUCUAGAAGACACACUUUCUAGUUAGAAUCCCUUAGGAGAUGCACUUCCUAGUCUUGGUUAUUUAAUUUUACUCUUAAGAGAUGCAUUUCUUAGUCAGAGUCUUGAUUCAUCAUUGCAACAUGCAAGUAGGUAUGAUGUGACUUUUCCAAAAGUCUUCUGAUGAUAAACUAGGACAAAAAUUCAAUUUCUAUUUUUGAAACUUUACUUUUCUGGCAAAUAAAACCUCUUUAUAAUAAUAUUUGUUUGAGAUAAUUUUCUUUUUAGUUUUGAUAUGAUUUCUGGAGCCUGCCCGAAGCACAGAGCGAAUAAAUGGAAAACCAAGCAACAAAGUGAAGAAAUUGAAAGUUAAACAGAUUGAAAAAUAGUAAUUCAGGAGCCCGCCUGAAGAAUAGGGUGAAGAAAUUGAAAGUUAAGCAAUGAGGUGAAGCAUUGGAAAACCAAGCAACAAGUUGAAGAAAUUGCAAGUCAGGAGCCGGCCUGAAGACUAGGGUGAUGAAACUUAAGUCAGGAGUCCAACAGAAGCUGUAUAGAUAGGAUUUUUGUAAUUUCAUUUAUGUUUUAACUUGUAAUUUUCAUUUUUGAUGUAAUGAAAGAGCCGUGGACCGGAGCCUCGACGGGACCUCACUCGACUCUCCAACUCGGUCGUCCUUCUUCCUUUUGUUUCUUCCCUGUGAAUAAUGGUGGGGUCAAAAUUCUAUCUCGUUGUCUACUUCUUUGUAUGAAAACACUUUGUGUUUACCUGCAAAGAGGGGCAUGAUGUAGACACAUAACUUUGUCCCUCCCCGAAAGCAUUCUUACCAUUUUACCCUCGUCUUAGUGUGUGCCCUCACCCGUGUGAUAACCCUUCACAAAAAGACAAAAAUAACAAUUCCUAACUAAUUUUAUCUUAUUCUAACAACCCCUCCCUAUUAAAAAAUAACACAUCACCCUCAUCACUUCCUCUGCACGUGACCUUCCCUUUUUAUUUCUUGUCCACAAAGCAAAUAAAAGGACCCAGAAGCAUAUUCCCUGGAGGGGAGACUCACUGUCACUCUCAAGACAAAAGAACCGACUGCAAUUCUCACAAAAAAGGAGAUACAAUAUUAUACAGAUAAGGGUCUUCAAUAUUUUUUCUUUUUGAUCAACAAAAUACAUAUACACAGACCAAAAACUUCAUCAUCGGGGAUUUUUUUUUCCAUUUUUGGAUACCCAUCACCAUUCCAUUGGCUGAAAUAGAAACACACACAGAUCGGAGAGAGAUUGGGAGAGAAGAGAAAAAAAGCAAGAGAAAGAGAGAGAGAAGCAGCGAUAGAAAGCGAGAGAGAGAAUAGAGAAUCAUGAGAGAGGGAUAGAGAGGAGAGAGAUAGAACGAGACACAAUUCAGGGUGGAAGAGAGCAGCGCCUCCACUGUUAAGCUUGCCGAAGCUCCGACGAUGCUACAACAGUGAUCGAAGCAUGCUGGAAAGCCACUGAAUCCGACAUCCAGUAUCGAUUCCGGCAACUAUCCAUCAAAAAGCGACCAAAAACAGUAUCGAGUGUGCUAAUUAGGUACGAUUGGUAGGGCUUUGUAAUCUUUGCUUUGGGUUGCGGUUUUUGCUUUCGUGAAUUCGUGUUUGGGUCAAAUUUUGGGAUUCUUGCGGGUGAUUUAGUACGAAGUUGGUGAGUCCUUUGUUGAGGUUUGAUUUGAGGUUCUUCGGCAUGGUUUUUGUCCUUUUGUUGAAGCAUUAUUGAAUUUCAAAACCUUCAAAUCGAGGUCUAAUUAUCUUUCUUCUCUUCUUUAUUUCGUUAUUUGUUGUGUUCUAUGCUUUGAAUUGAAUCCGAUGUGUUGGUUGACCUGGUACGGCGGUUGGUGGAGCAAUAUAGGGAGAGGAAGAAGGAUUUGUACAUGGUGUUCAUCGACCUAGAAAAGGCGUACGACAAAGUCCCCAGGGAGGUGCUCUGGAGAUGCUUGGAGGUGAGUGGAGUACCGCAGGCAUAUAGCAGAGUAAUUAAGGAUAUGUAUGAGGGAGCGAAAACCCAGGUGAGGACGGCGGGAGGAGACUCAGAGCAUUUCACUGUCCUGACGGGAUUGCAUCAGGGAUCUACUCUUAGUCCCUUUUUGUUUGCGUUAGUAAUGGAUGUGUUGACGCGGCGUAUCCAAGGGGAGGUGCCGUGGUGUAUGCUUUUUGCAGACGAUGUAGUCCUGAUAGAUGAGACGCGAGGGGGUGUGAACGACAAAUUAGAGUUGUGGAGGCAAACUCUGGAGUCUAAAGGGUUCAGGGUGAGCAGAACCAAGACAGAGUAUGUGGAAUGUAAGUUUAAUGACGUAAGGCGAGAGAAUGAGGUAGUGGUGAGGCUAGAAGCGCAGGAGGUAAAGAAAAGGGAUAAGUUCAAGUACCUCGGGUCCGUGAUCCAGAGUAACGGUGAGAUUGACGAGGAUGUCUCGCACCGUAUCGGGGCGGGAUGGAUGAAGUGGAAACUUGCAUCGGGGGUGCUGUGUGAUAAGAAGGUGCCGCCCAAGCUUAAAGGUAAAUUCUAUAGGGUGGUAGUCCGUCCGGCCUUGCUGUAUGGAGCGGAGUGUUGGCCAGUUAAGAACUCCCACACCCAAAGAAUGAAGGUGGCAGAAAUGCGGAUGUUGCGCUGGAUGUGUGGACUGACCCGAAGGGAUAGAGCUCGGAAUGAGACUAUCCGGGAGAAGGUUGGGGUGACUUCAGUGGAGUGUAAGAUGCGGGAAGCACGAUUGAGAUGGUUCGGACACGUGAAGAGGAGGGGCAUGGAUGCCCCGGUCCGUAGGUGUGAGAGGCUAGCGUUGGAUGGUUUUAGACGGGGUAGGGGUAGACCGAAGAAGU
rnacentral:lncRNA from 1 species